UGAAAAACAUGAAAAUUUUCAUACUUCAGCAAUCUUGUAAUUGAGGACAAAUGUGACCAGGUUUAAGCGUUUGAUGUUUCCUUCAAUCACAAGACUUGUAUCUACAGAAAGGUCUGGGAAGCAAGCUGUUUGCUUGUACUGAGCGAAUCCCCACAUACCCUGAUGAAAGUCGGUUCUCAGUCUCACCAUAAGCAGAGAGAAGUGCAUUCUCAAACAAUUUCAGUUCUCCAUUCCUGAGAUCCACUGUAAUUGUUUUCCAUCCUAGAGCCUGAAAUCGAGCUGAUAUGUCUUCAGAAAAUGCAAGGUCUGUAGAACCAUCAAUAGUAUUGUGGUUGUCAUCAUAGAUUAGUGUAAGCUUAUUAAGUUUCCAGUGUGCAGCCAACGAUGCAGCUUCAUGUGAUAUGCCUUCCAUAGCACAGCCAUCCCCCAUAAUGCAAUAGCUAAAUUAACAAUCAGCAGGUCAGUGUUAGCAUUUUUACAAAUUCAUAGGAGUAUUGAAUGAGUUGAAAGAGGACUAGAAAUCUGCUUACGUUCGGUGGUCAACUAUGGCAACAUCGGGCUUGUUGAAUCUAGCAGCCAGGUGUGCUUCUGCUAGGGCCAGACCAACCGCAUUGGUACGCCUUGCCCAAGGGGGCCUGAUUUCCCAAGACAUAAAGGGUGCAAAAAGUAUUAGACACAGAUCAAAAUUUGCUAAAUUUAUAUGCUAAAGAAAGAUGGCAAUGGUGUAUAUCAUCCUUUAGCAACUAUGACAACAAUCCAAUCAAUAGAGUUUCCUUACCAGUUGUGACUUCAAUUCAUCAGUAAUUGUGUUCUCUGGGUGACCUGGAGUCCUACUACCAAGCUUAGUUAAACGUUUCAGGUCUUCAAUCUAGGUAAGACAAUUAAAAAACAUCCCCUGUCAGAAAAUCAACCUUGUAUUCCUUCUACGUUACUGUUUUAGAAUUGCAAGUAUUUAUGGGAACAUUAAAUUCUCUCGUUCUAUAUAUCUCAAUAGAUAAAAAAAUUGAUGAUUAAAUUUGGUAGCAUUUUAUCAACCUAUGCAGGAUAAUAUACACUAAAGAAACCAUAGUUGAAAUAAAAUCAAAGAAAUCCAAAUAUCAAGGAUAUUAUGUACCUGAACUGAUUGAAAUCCAGCAAGAUGAAGACAAACAUAUUGAAGAAGACAUCCGUGCCCUGCACUUAAGACAAACCUAUCCCUAUUGAACCACUUGGGAUUCCUCGGAUUAUACCUCAUGGCAUGCCUGUAUAGAAAAUAGCCCACUUCAGCCAUCCCAAGCGCCAUUCCAGGGUGGCCAGCUUUUGCAUGAUUCACAGAGUCUACUAUUAACAUUCUGACAUUGUCCACGCCCUUUUGUCCACCAAUUCUCGAAACCUUUCAUCAUCAUUUCCCAUUGUUGGCUUGAAAUUUCAGAUGGAUAUGCUCUUUUUAGCUCUUCCAGCCACGAAUGCUUAUACUCGGAAUCACUGAAAAGUGUUGCACUGAUCGGGGGUGAAGUUUCUGCAGUCUCUUUCCUGAGACUGUUCUUGCAAGUUAAACACCUCAAUCCAGUCUAUUGCUCGUAUAGCAUCUGUGGCUGUUUUCAGCGGUUGGUUUGGUGGAAAGAAUAGGAGGGCAGGGCCUGAGGAGAAGAGAAGAGAUGGCCAUGAUUGCGAUCAAAGGAGGCAAGCAGAAACAGAUUUUGGCCGUUUAGGAGGUGAGACUUCGGCGACUUGGCGAAUUUGACCAUAUGGAUUUGGAUUACCAGAUCAUCUGUCGAUUUUGGAUGACACAAUUAAAAAAAGAUGCGUACAUAUAUUCACAUCGUACACGUAGAAAGAGCAAAGAGGCAUGCAGCAGAUUGAUGAUCCUGCCUGGACUAGGGAGGAGGCGACAGGUAGCUACAUUACAAGCCUAGAAGUCCUUUAUUUAUUUAUUUAUCUUUUGCCAAGUUGCAUUUGACUUCCUUUUUUGUUUUUUAAAGUUAAUACAAUUAUGUCUGAUAUCUGCGUAUGGUUUGGUUGAUGAUAUAUCUUGUGUCGGUGUAAAUAUUAAUGAAAUUAUAAUACUCCCUCCGUUCCACUUUGAUAGUCCUAAUUUCAUUUUUCACACAGUUUAAGAAAAAGUAAUUAACUUUGUUGGAACAAUCAAUUUAGGUAGCUAUUUUCUAAAAUACCCUCACAUUAAUUAGAAUACAACUUUAUGGGAACUUGGAUUGAUGGUAAAAAAAGAAUAAACUCUCAUUAAAUGGGGUAGGUUUAUAGUAACAACAACUUACAUUGAAUAAGGGUAUUUUAGAAAAAUUAAAAUACAACUACAUUCUUCAAUUGGAAAGUGAACCACAAUUUGGGACAAACGAAAAAGGAAAACAGGACUAUCAAAGUGGGACGAGGGAGUAUGUUUUGGCAAGAGAGAAUUCGAGGCAAUCAUGUCUUAUAUAUGCCUUUGACAAAAUCAAAACCUAAUGUAUCAUCUUCAACGAUGAUAAUUGAUUGUCACUGUAUUUGAUCAAGUUUGCUAAUGUAUGAGGGAAAAGUUAAAAGAGUUUUGUGUUCUUGUAACUUAUUUCCUGCAAUCUUAUCUCUUUGCGAAAUUGACUUCGUACAAAAAAUUUUCAUUCAAAAAAAAAAAGGAAAGAAAUAAUCUAAGCAACUAAAAUGUUAAAUAAUAAUGUAAUGUGAAAGUAAAAAGUAUAUAUGACAACAGGAUUUAUCUCAAGCUUACAAGGAAAAAAAAAAAGAAAAGAAAAGGUGAUCUUUUGCCCUUGUUUUAUGCACAUGAGGAAUUAACGAAAAAUGAUGAUUUUGACUACACUUGUUAUCUGAAAAUGGUAAUUAAUCUAAUUUCAGGACAAACGAAAUGAUAAAUUUUAAUUUGAAGUGUUGGAAAUAUGAUUUUGUUUUCCAAAUUUUGUUUCUCUGUUUCUUAAUCAUUAACAAAAGUUCGAACCCACAUGCACCAUUUCCCUUCGAUUGGGCUGUAUCUUCUGACAGGACGCCUCUAUUCUGCUUGAGAGCCCGUACAUUGAACGGCCUAUUGAUAUAAAAAUGACGGCCCAUUUAUAUGGACAAAGAAGUUUGUUUCUAACCCUUUACUCAUUUGAGGGACUAUUUAAGGAUGUAAUCGAUUGAAUUCAAGUAUCGCCGUUCUCAAGCUCCACUUGACAUGUAGGAAGGAUACUCGAGUUUGAUCGAGUAGCAUUAUUGAAGUUAGAGCUCGAGUUCAAUAUAUUACUCACAGAACUCGAGCUCAACUCACAUGGAGCUUGAGUCAAUGGGAGCCUUAUCAACCUCAAAUCAGGAAGAUUUAGGGAUUUCAUUUUUCUUAACAAUUUUUUAGCAAAAAGAUAUUAUUAAUCUUUAAAAAAAAUUUCAUUUGCCUUGAAACAUUUCAUAAAUUCAACCACUUUUGUGGGCACAAGGAUAAUUUUAUAAUAAUUAUGUAUUAAAAAAUUAAAAUUAAAAAACUCCAUAAGGUUUGACGAGCGUUCGAACCUUGCCAUUGGAUAUUCAAACUCGACUUGUUAGGCUUAUUGAGCUACUCAACUUAAAUCGAACUCGAUCAACUUGAGUUCGAGUCUGAGUUUUUGAUCGAACUGCUCGCGAGAGAGCGCGGUUUGAUAUUCUCUUCUGGCCAGUGACCAUCCUGCAAUUUUUUUCAUUUUAUGUUUUUUUAACUUCAAAAAUGUACUGCUGUUUAGAAAAAAAAAAAUGUAUUACACAUUAGCCUCACAAAAGAUGGAAAAUUUUCAAACUUUUGACUAAAAUGCAAUACAAGUCAAAUCUCUGUGAGUGCUUUCUGAAUUGAGAAUCACAAAUUACAAAUUCAAGAAACUUUACAUACAGCACCAGUUGUGUUAAAAAAAAAUGAUUAAGUUUGCUUUGUUUGUAUUACAUUUUUGCGCUUUUUGGCUAGGGUUAAUUUGGACUCUUUCUGAAGGCCAAUAGUGAAGUACCUUUAUUAAGCAAUUGAAAGAGCUAGCAAACCCUUAAAUCUGUUGUGGAUUCAGAGUCAAUUGCCUCAGCCUACUUUGCUACUUUUGCCUUUUUUAAAAAAAAUUUCUAUGUUCUUUUAAUUGAAUAUUUCAUUUCAAGAUUUCCGUUUUGAACAUUUUUUCCCUUCAUUAAAAAAUAAAAAAUAAGUACAAUUCUUGUUGUAACUUUUUACAGUGGGCCGGCAUAGAAAUUACAAGUUGUGAAUGAUGUCCCUAUUCCUGUCAUGCAAUUAUGUAUAGGUCCUGGUGAAAAACGAAUAUAACAUUCCUGCCUGUGCAGGGGACAAGUACAAGACAGAGGAACCAGAGUUGCAUCCCUGUUGGAAAUACUGUCGGCGGUUCAUUGGAAUGAUUUGCCUUCCACCCGAUGAUCAUAUAUUGCUAUUUUUUCGUAAAUAUCAUAUAUUAUUUUUUUUAUUUUUUAACUAUUAACUAAGCAAUACAUAAAAUUUAACAAACUCAAAAAAUUAAAAUAAACAAAAAGUGAGUUUUUUUAAUGAAUUUUCUGCUGUAUAUUUUGAUUUUCUAUUAUACAUUAUUUUUUUGAAACUGUUGUAUAUUUUUUUUUACUGUGUUAGUAGUUAUUAGAAAAAGAAUUAAUAUAUAAUAUUUAUAAAAAAAAUAACAAUAUAAUAAAAUAUAAAAUAUAAAGUUACACAGAAAAUGAAAUAGAAGAUCUGCUACGUAAUAGUUGCCUCGACUGCCUUCUUGGAUUUGUAUACCUGCAAUUGCUCCAAAAUGCAAGGAUUCUGUGCAAUGCAGAUUUUUUACAUUUAGAAUCUAUUAUGGAUAAUGAAACCUUCAAUGAGUACCGGAAAAUAUUCCAAAAUGGAUUUUAGAAAUAACGAGUGGAAAGUUAAAUAUAUGUACUAUCGAGAGAGAAAGAAUCUCUAGUCAUCAAACUUAUUUUCUUCUGCCAUGUGCCAGCAUGUGACAUUUCAUUUGAAUUAUUGAGCUAAAUUUGACUUAAUCAUUACUAGUUGAAUCUUCUAAAAAAAAAGAUGCAAAAGAUACAAAACCAUCGUACAUUGAAAUUUCUACCCUUCUGGAAACAAAAUGUGACCCCCUCUUCAAUGAAUUUGUCGAAGGAAAAAACUGCAGGUGGACCAAAUAUUCAUAUCAGGAUAAACGUGAUGGUCGUCUAUCUGCCCAAAUUGAUCAUAACUUCUUUAUAUUAUCCUUACGUCGAAGGAAUUAAGAUAAUAGACACAUCUAUUCGUUUUUAUAUUCAUCCAACAUGAACUCGUUCAGUAGCAUUCAAGUUAGUGAUCACAUUAACAUAUAGUUUUAGUGUUGAAAAAAACACAUGCUCAAGCAAGUCUCAGGGUGAUUAAAAUUGUUUGUAAGGAUAAGGUUCCUCUGUGACGAGAACUAACAGAUGUAAACAGGGAUCAUGGCAUUAGGUAUUAGGCCUAUAUAUGGCCUUGUAUUUUUAUUCAAGCCUUGUCCCCUCUCAAGAUUAUUCUUCCUCUAUUUCUUGAAGAGAUUGCUUAAUUAGAUGCAAAGUUGAAGAACAGGGAAAAGGGAGACUCGCAAAAGAAACUGCCUAGUCACAAUAUGAACCAGAAUGCCUCUUCUUGGCAUUUUAAGCAUCAUGCAUUUGCAUAGGGCACUUAAGAAAUCGUGGGGCUGGGCUGACUUGCACAAGAAAGAGCUUAGAUGUCGCAAAGGGUCACUUCGUGCGUAUGUAGGCCAAGAAUGCAAGACGAGACAUGGAGUGAAUUUGAGCUUGCUGAAGCAUCCUCUUUUCAUGGCAUUGCUUGCAGAAGAGGUUUUUGGUUUCCCACUCGUACUCUCUAACUUCCUUUACCGUGCAAUGAGGACGUUUUUCUUCACACACUAAUGCAAUGCACUAUCUCAGAAAAAGGUCGACAGUGAAAUGUGCCAUCCCCUCUCUUUUUUUUUUUGGCCAACAUUGUGUAGGGGUUUACGUAACAUCUUUCUUCUUCUUUUUUUCUGGGAAAGUUCUUUGAAGGGCUAUCUUUUAUCUAGUUCCAAGAGUAUGACAGGAGCAUGUCUCCGGUUGAGUUUUUGACACAUGCUGGAAAUUACUGAAUUUGUUUUGCAGGGAAUUCUUGUUCAUGCAUCGAUCCCUAGGUUUAUUUCAGAAGUAUUCAUAUGCAGAUCUUCAAGAAGGGGUAAGAGGAGCCAGUUGGCUAAUGAUACCGUGAUGUGGUAUUCAUAUUGAAUCUUGAACAACACUUUUAACAUCGUUUUAGCUUGAUAUCUAGAUUGCAUUUUCACUGCGCAGCCAAGUAAAAUAUGGUGAGGACGUGUUUUGGACUCUGCCAAAUUUUUCUAACCAACUGUCGUGAACCAAUUGUGAUAUCGAUCUUGUCCAACGACUGGUAUAGAAGUCUACUCUGAAUUGAACGUGAAGUUUCAACUCAUUAGCUUGAUUAAUUUAAUCAAAUGAUUAGCUUUAAUAGUAGCUCUAUUCUUCAUCUCAGUUGUAUUUGGAAAGCAGCCGUCAAUAUGACGAUGGUCUUUUAUGUUGAUGUCAAACGCUCAAUUCCACGUUUAUAGACGCCUUCAGGCUAGUUGAGAUUUUGUUUGGCAAUACAAGGAAAAUGAGAAUCAUCAGGUCUGGAGAUUUCCUGUAUUUCUUCACCUACUUUUUUUUUUUUUUUUUUUUGACCCAGGGGGUAGGUGGCUCUUGUCAGCGUGAUCCUGAUCUUCUCCUACCAAAUCAGUGUGUUAGGUGAAAUCCAAAGUGGGGAUGCAAAUGAGCCUAAUCAAUUCGAACAUUCUCUAGUAUUUAAACUUGUUUGACAUUUUAACGAGUUUUGAAAUUUUAUUAUUUGUCGAACCGAAUUUAAAUGAGUUUUUUUAAUCGAACGUAAAAACCGUGCAUUCUUCAUUUGACUAGUUGCAAACCAAACUCCAAAUAUGUCAGUUGUAAGGGAUGGAGGAAGUGCAAAAUUUAAGGAUAAACAUAGAGCUUCGAUGUCAAGAAUACACGAAAUCGCAAAGACUUUUAUCCAUAAUUACACUUGUUGAAGUUCAACAUUUAUGGCAACGAACAAUAUCAGUAUAAGACGAAAAUACAAGGAUCUUAAACAAGCUAGUGACAACUUGGAUACAACAUUCCCAAAGAGGGCAAACUAGGAAAAAAAAACAAAUUUCAAGAAAUUUAAUAAAUGAACCACAGUAUGAAGAAAACAUCUUAGCAAAUUGGACGGGAGCACCAUUCCACUCUUUCAAACAAUCCAGCAAUGGAUCAAUCAACUUCCCUUCACAUAUGGCAGUGAAUACCUUGUCAAAUUUUCUCCAGGUGAUCUCACCUUCUCACCAGUCAGGAAAUUGGUCCCCAACUCUCCCCUCACAAGCUUGUAUAAUGAGUAGGACCUGCAAUCCUUGAUACGAUUGGCAAUGCCUGGCUUUCCAUUCUCCAGCUCACAUCUAGCACUCUCCACUUCUUUGGGCAAAAGGGCCUUUAGUUCAUCCUCAAAGCACCGAUCUUUUGGAAAAUUGAAGUGGUUGCGUCCUUCUCCUUGUCCCCAUUUGCUAAGGAGUGCUCCACUAGGACUUGCCUUAGCUUUUGCAUGAGGGGGUAGGUUCCACUACAGGGGUCAUCAAUGUAAGCAAAAACAUGCUCUCUGUCCACCACUUUGAGCAAGUCUUUUUCGCAGAAUCUAGAUGGGUGCAAUUCGCCAUUGUAGCCCAUUGUUAGCACUUUCUUGGCUACAAGGCUAACUGUGUUUUUCACUGAGGCCUUCAAGUUCUCCUCCAGGUGCCUCAGGUCAAUUGCCUGGCACAAUGCAACCAAAUAGGUCGAUGACAUGAGCUUCAAUAUGUCCACAGCUUCUGCUGUUUUUCUUGAUGAGAUCAAUCCUAAUGAGUUGACAUCUUGGUUGUGUUGCUCUGCACUUUGCACAUGGUUUGUGACAGGAUUGGCUAGGAACUGAAGUUCAGAGCAGUAAGCUGCCAUGGCAAUUUCAGCACCUUUGAAACCAUAGUCCAAACUUGGAUUACGUCCCCCAGAUAGGUUUGAAGGCAAUCCAUUGUUGUAAAAGUCAUUAACCAGCUCAGAAAAUUGUGCGAACAUGAGUUUACCAAUUGAUGCAAUUGCUAGACGGGUGUUAUCCAUCGAGACUCCAAUUGGUGUACCUUGAAAGUUCCCACCAUGUAAGGCCUUAUUCCGGGAAACGUCGAUCAAAGGAUUGUCAUUCACAGAAUUGAUCUCUCUUUCGAUGGAUUUUGUCGAAGCCCUGAUGACUUCAAUCAAUGGACUAGCCAUUGUGGGGAUGUUCGGAGUGCAUAACGAUCUUGUUUGGGCUUUUGCAAAGGGUCGAAUUCAUUAACCCUCUGAGCUUCUUUAACAAAUGAACUUCCAUCCAAAAUGUGUUCCAUAAUAGCUGCGGCCUCAAUUUGACCAGGAUGGUGCUUCAGUUUAUGAGUCAAAUGGUCUGUAAACUCUGGCUUCCCGUGCAUAACUUCAGCAAAAAUUCCUGAAAGAACUUCAGCAAGAACAGCAAGAAUAUUAGCCUCAAAGAGAACCAUGGAAGCCAAGCCAGAGCCAACAGCAGUGCCAUUCACAAGUGCAAGGCCUUCUUUCGCCUGCAGCUCGAAAAAUCCAGUGUCAAUCCCCGCCAGGCUGAAUGCUUCAGUAGCAUUGACAAAUUUUCCAUCAGGUCCAACAGCCUUGGAAUUUGGUCGACCUGUUAAUAAUCCAACAAUGUAGGAGAGUGGAACCAAAUCACCGGAGGCGGUGAUCGUUCCGCGGAGGGGCAAACAUGGGGUGAUAUUAUUGUUGAGAAGCUUUGUAAUAGCUUCCAGAAUCUCAAAUCUGAUGCCAGAGUACCCCUGAAGGAGGGUGUUGAUUCGAACAAGCAUCGAAGCCCUUGUUGCCGAGUGAGUGCAAUGUGUGACAUGUUUCGGUCCCGUUGCCAAAAAUUCCAGCAUUCAAGAAUCUGUGCCAAACAAUCAAGUAUUAAGAUAAUAUUCAGGGUAGAAAAACUCUUCACUGUCUACUCAAGAAAGAAAUCAAUGAAAAUCACUCGUCAAGAAGUUGUUUUUUUUUUUCUCUUUUCUAAGAACCCAAAUAAAAAAAAAUGCACAAGCUGAAAAAUGUUUGUGCAUUACGAUCCAAUUAAAUUAUUGCGGGUUGUACUAUUUUUUUGUACUGUAAUUUCAAUUGACAAAGUCUCGACGGGAAUUUUGGCUUGCCGGUUGGAAAGGGAUGAAAAUGACCUACUCAAAGAUGCCACUCGACGGGACUUUAACCUUACUUCUUGGUGGUACAUUCGUGCGUACACGUCUUGCGCGACAAAACAAAUGAGUGAAGACAAUCUCGAAACUCAUUCUCACCUCAUAAAAUGCUAAAACAAAUGGAACCACCAAAAAUGCAUUUCCUAUAAAAGUCCCUGUACGAAAACAGACAAGCCUUAUCUCUAUUCCAAUUUAAUGUUGUUAUUUUAUCGACUAUACUGUAGUAAAAAAAAAUGUUUUAAAAGCUUAGCGACAUGCAAGCUUAAGCACCUAACUGGACAUGAUGACAAAAUUCAGGACGUGAACCAAAUCAGUGUGAAUUAAAACGUGGGUACAGUAGAUGAAAAUAAUUGAUUGGUUUAGAAUUUGGUCGACCCACCUGGACCAUCUAAUAGUGCAGGCCUUCAUGAUCUAAGUUAAUGGAGAUUCUGUCUAGCUUCUAAUCACCUCAUAUCGCUACUUACUAUUCAAACUCUGUUUUUGUUAGAAUUGGACCACAUUUAUGACAUACUAAGAAUUUUAUUUGGCAUAUUUUGUGCACAGCCAAAGCAGAUAGAUAUGCUUUUCGUUUUUAGUUGUUUGUUGAACCAAGAAUCGCAGCCAUCAUUAAUUAUUGGCACUAAUAAGAGUGCGUGAGCUCCCAAUUUGCAUUUUCAGGUCAGAAAUCAGAAUGGCCCUAUAGUUUGAUUAAGAGCAAAGCCAAAGCCUUCUUUUUAGGUAUGGCCAGGCCAGCCUUGAAUGCAUUUUCUUUUUAGGUAUGGCCAGGGCCAGCCGGCCCUUGAAUGCAUUAACUUGUUCUCAAUUAGCCCUUUUCCUUUUUCUUUUUCAUAUUGAACAAAAAAAUAAUUCAUUUGAAAGCUUAAAUAGUAAUUAACCCCCUGUUUUACAUUCAUAACUCGGUCUGAGAAUUAUAUAUAUAUAUAUAUAUGCUAAAGAAUUAUGCAGCAAAAAUAUGUUACUCCGUCCUUUGAAAGGAAGCAUGGCCGGCGGAGAAACAUUAAUAGACUAUUACUAUAUACUGUUGUGUUUUUAUUCCCGAAAAUUCUUGUUGGUUUUGUUGCAACAUCAAUGUCAAAGUUUAUAUAUUUUUAUUUCAUCCACAACUACAACUGAUAAAAUAGUCAGUAGUGAAUAACAAAAUGGUACUAGUUCCUUUUCACUUUUUGUUUUCUCACCUACGUCCUACUAACUAUUAAUACGAGUAUCUUAAUAUAUUGUUGAUUGGCCCCUUUUAGUUCUAGUUACUUGACUUGCAAAAUUAUUUAUUUCUUCAACAAGUUUUCUACAGCUGUAACUAAAUGUUUUCUUCUGCUUGUCCCCACCAAUAAUGAUCUUUUCUGAGUCGAAAACGAAAAGAAAUGUACCUGGCGGAAUUUUAAGAGCACACGCAGAACAUGUCUGCAGUCCUCGGAAUUUUUUUAACCCUUCGGCGCCUAAAGGUAAUAUUGCUGAGACAAUCAGGAGUCUUGGUGUCUUAUUACCCUAUUAAUAAUAAUUAUUGGCUGCUUUUCUUCGUUUUUGAGUUUUUGUUAAUAAAUGUGUGUGCCCAGCUGCACGAACCUACCUACAUCAUCAGGGGCCACGAAAUGAUAGACAGUCCAAGAAACUUUUCUCCAAGAAAGAAAAAAGAAAUUUCAACCAAUCCUUUUCAGCAGUAAAGCCAAAUCUUAAGGUUGUUUGGCCCCACUCAAUAUUGAUUUAUGAACUUGCCUGAAACUUCAAGACUGCAUUUCAAUGUGAAUUACUUCUCCUAGAACCAAGCAUGCAUUAUUAUUAUUCUUGAUUAUCAUCAAGUCACCCCUAUUCCAUUUGCAAAGGUUAAUUUUGCAAUCUAUAGCGAAAUACUCUGUAUCACUCAUCUACAUGCACCAUGAUGAUGAUCUACUGUAUGGUGGUAUAUGCCCUGACAAAUUUCUUAAAUGCGGCGUAAAUUAGACGAGUUUAACACUCACUCAUGAUCAGGACAUGAGCUUCAUAGUUUAGUGCAACAGGAUUUAGCAUUAAUCUUACCGAAUGAGCUCCUCCUGGAGAGCUCCGCCGUGUUUGGUUCUCCUGUGUGACGUUGCACCAAAGCCGGUGGUGAUACCGUAACUAUCAGUGCCCUUUCUCAUGCUCUCCAUAACCCAGUCACUGCUGGCCUUGACGCCGGCCCUGGCACCCUCCGACAGCUCCACCUUAACGGCUGCGUCGGAGGAAGCAGCUAUGGCCGCCACCUGAGCUAUCGUCAGCGUCUCACCACCUAGCCGGACCAGGGGCCUCCUGAACUCAUCGACCAUCCGCUUGACUUCAUCAAGAUGACUUCCUUUUAAAGACUCCGCGGCUGCGUUCCAAUUUAACGGGUCCGGUGCUGGCCCGGCCCGUUGAGUACAAAAGGUCUCCGCAAGGUCAUUACCAUUUCCAUUAGCGCACUCCAUUUUUGCUUGCUUGCUAGCUUACUGGAACGAUCAAGAAAUCCGGGCUCACAAGAAAAUAGUAGCAAAUUCUAGUAAUAAUAAUAAUUAGCCCAAAAGAUUGUAAUGCUUAAACAGUGGUGGUGGUGGUGGUGGCUGGGGGUAGGAGGAGGAGGGGGGGGUGGGGAACUGAUCGAUCGGGGUGAGUAGGAAAUUUGCAAAGCUUUAAGGGGAAAUAGCUCUAGCUGAAUUUCCUGAGUUGGUUGAGCCACCUUUGGUUGUUUAAAUAGAGAACAGGAUGGCAUUGAGAGUUGGGUGAGGCAGGCAUUGGGUAGUUGAAAGAUGUAGACGACCGUCAGAUGAGCAUGCGGUUGAUGGUUGAGAUUUAUGACACGUGUUUGAAUGCAUGGGCAGCUGGGAUGAAGAAGAAGGCUCUACCACAAGUCAUACAUGGUUUGGUCGUAUACACAUUUCUAUUUAGAAAAAAAAAUGUUUGGCUAAAGUUUGCACUUGAUGUUACCUGUUUGGAUUCGCCAUUUUUUCAAAAAUAAGUUUUUCAAAUACAAUGUUACAGUAAUACACAAUAACUCAAAAAACAUUCCAUUCAUACAAUAUAUCAAAUAUUUCAAAAAAAUUUUAUAUUAAAAAUUUUUCAUAUAUAUUGUUACAGUAAAAUUUUUCAAAAACAACUAAUCCAAACGAUUUGUUUGGAUAUUGAAUUAUCUGCAAAAAAAUUAUUUACUUACAUCAUAAAUAUAUAUAUAUAUUUAUUUCCAACCACUUUUUUAAUCUCACAUAUGUUACAUUAUAAAAAAAAAUGCUAUAGUAAAUAAUAAUUCAUAUAAUCUCCUAUCCAAAUAUGCUCAGUAUAUAUUAUCAGAAUCAGAAGUCAAUUAAAAAAAUAUUUUUAUAGACUAUUAUGGGCAUAAUCUUUGCAUAAGCAGCGCGAUUCAAAUACAUGACUUUUACUUUAUUAAGUAGGUGGCUUUGUCUUAGUGAGCUAACUUGCGUUAACACACUUUCAUCAAGAUGACAAAUUAAUGAAAAGAAAAGCAACUUUGGAGGACAAAGUAUAAAGCAUAAGCUGAUAAAAGGUGUGGUUGGUGAGAGUACGGGGGACUCCCAAGUCUCCUCAACACAAGAUGUGAGAACUUGGAAGGCUGCACGAAAGCACCAUGUCAUCUCCCACCAAUCCUGCCGGUUGGCAUCGGUCAAGUUGAGGACUUCAAAUGAUGAAAUUCUCUAUUAAUUUUCUUAGUACGUGUAGCCCCUUUAGUCUUUCUUAAUUUUGUUGUUGGGUGGAAACGUGUACAGUACUCGUGUUUAAGCUACUGUUUCUGUUGUCCACAUAUUCCACUCCAAACAUAAAAAAUAAUAAUAAUAAUUGAUUUAGUAUUCCUAUCUCUGUAUUUUGAAGUAUUUUACCAAGUACCUGCCCUCAAAUUUUUCUGUUCCGUCUUAACAAAUUAUUAGGAGUCAUCAAGACCACCAGCCGCAUGAAGUGGUACUAUUUCAUGGUAGAAUAUAUACAAGGCUGCUACGAGAAAAGUUUUUUAAAAAAAAAAUCAAUGAGACAUUUUGUCUAUUUCCACCUGAAUUUCUAAGAAUAACCUAAAAACAACCACCAAGAGAUUGAACAGUAGGAGGGUAAAUUUCUUGCGGUUUUCUUGAGGUAUUAACGCGGGAAGACAGAUGGCACCAAAAACCGUACCAAAGAAAAAAGAAUGAGAAAAACAUAAAUAAAGUCUUACCAAACUCUCGGUUGCCCCCACUCCCCAAGGGCCUCCAAAAAGAAAGGAAAAAGAAAAAAAAAAACCCCGGAAAAAGGAACAAGAUACCGUCCAGCCUUGUACAAAGUAAUAUACACCAUAACUAAUACUAGUAUAUUAUUUGCAGACUGACAUGGAAAGUUAACCUAGUAAGUAGAGCUAAUUACUUUGAAAUAGAAGAGGAGUAAAAAGAUUCUAUGGAGAGAUAUCAUGUUCAAGAUGUAAUGAGCACGAGCAACGAUGAGCCUUUUCAAAUAAUGGGUUUUUCUAGGGGAUCCCAUCGGGUACUAAUUAACAUAUUUAAAAUUAAUCUAAUGUAUCACGUGUAUAUAUAUAUAUAUACAAACAAUUGUUACCUUCUUUUAUAUUUAUGUAUUUUUUCUAUUUAAUCUUACCUGUCUUUCAUUAUAUUUAUUUAUUUUUUAAAAAAAAAUAUGACACAUGAAAUAUAUCUUAACGUGUACCAAAUGAACACCCAUUGAAUAGACCCUUUAAAUGAGUAUCUUCUUAUAGUUAAUCGCAAAUUGAUGGAAGAUGACUCAAAGGUCAUACGUUUUGUUUGUUGGUUUUAGACUUUUAGAAUGGAGAGUUGAUUUGAGGCUUGUACUGUUCUCUCCCUCUCCAUUCUUUCCAUUCUGGAAAAAAGAUUAGACAGAAAUUCCUCAUCAACGCAUGUUACAAGGUAGUUAACAUUUACUGAAUUUGUCGUACGAAUUGGAUAAUAGCACGGCAAUCAUUAAGCUUUAACAUUAAAAUUGAUGUUGCACGGCAAUCAUUAAAAUUAUUAUCCAAUAUGUACAACCAAACCAACGAUGCAACAGCAACAGAAAUGUCAUUUUGCGGGGAUGUCAUCAGGGUUCUCUUCUUGAUCAGAGUACGGUUCUAAAUUUCUAAUGCUACAUAUUGAUGAUUUUCUUGGUUCUUUUUUCUCUUCCACUUUGGCGUAGUGGAAAACCUACCUAAACCAAUCCACAUUGAUAAACUAGUCUUAAAUUAGUUGGUAAGCAAUCGUCAGUUGAUCCUACUUCUUCCUCCCCCACUUUCCCAUGCGCCCUAUGCAGCACUAGAUUAGAUACCUUUUUGUCAUCAAUGAAAACGGUUUCCCUUUGGUUUAUAGUUUAUUUGGAAAUUGCUUCUGCUAAAAUUGCCCCACUGCGCGUAAUUAAUUUACUCGGUUUCUGCCGCUGAAUUGAAUUAAAUAUUAUUGUAGCCAAGGUUGAAACAUUCGAAAUUCUUGUUAAGCCUGUGGAUUUUAUUGCAUUCUCAAUUGCUCCGCAAUAAAUACUCCAUCCAAUUCCAAUUCGUGAAGAACCAUCGUUUUCUAUGAAGCAAAGAGAACGCAAGUUUUCCAGGGCGGGUGAAAUUGUGAGAGAUUUUCAAAACUAUAUGGAGUUUCUUGCAGGCCUUGGUUUUAAAAUAGGGGAUAAUUGCAGAAACCUCCCCUGAGGUUUCUGACAUUUGCACUGACCUCCCCUGUGGUUUGAAAAAUUACACUGACCUCCCCUAAGGUUACUAAUCCUUUGCAAAUUCAGUCCAAACGAUUAAAAUAUUAUUUUAGGGAGUGAAAUUAGAAUUUUUUUAUCAAAUUUGUCCUUUGUACUACAUUUUCAAUGAAUGACAAAAUACUACAAAUCAAUUAACAAUUAAUAAAUUUUAAGGAAUAUAGUUUAUAGGCAAAUACGCAUUAUUUAUUUAAAGUACCGGCUCUUUAUGGGUAUUUUACUUUUAAACAUUUAAUUUAAUACAAAUAUUUAGACUCAAAUACAUAUUUGUAUUUACUUUCAAAUAUUUAAUUUUUGUUAAAUAUAAAAACUAUCAAUCUCUCUUCCGUAAAAAUAUUAAUAUAACACUUUUUCAAUUUUAGUUACAAACAUUUAUGUAUUUAACAUAAAUUAUAUGAUUCACAAUAAAAUGCCAUAAAGAGCCAAUACUUUACUCAUUUAAUGGAUGAAAGCCAUAAAGAAUUAAUAUUUUAUGGGCCAUUUUUUUAAAAAAAAUAUUUAAUUUAUAUUAAAUAAAUAACCUACCGAUUUCGUUUUUGCAAGAAUAUUAAUGUAACACUUUUUGAAUUUUAUUUACAAACAUUGAUAUAUUUAUCAUAAAUUAAAUGUUUGAAAGUAAAAUAUCCGUAAAAAGCCGGUACUUUAAAUGAGUAAUGCGUGUUUGCCCAUAAAGAACCGGUAACUAUUUAAAGUACCGGUUAUUUACGGGUGUUUUACUUUCAAAUAUUUAAUUUAAUACAAAUAUUUACGCUCAAAUACAGAUUUGUAUUUACUUUCAAAUAUUUAAUUUUUGUUAAAUACAAAACCCACCAACUUCUCUUCCGUAAAAAUAUUAAUAUAACACUUUUUCAAUUUUAGUUACAAAUAUUUAUGUAUUUAACAUAAAUUAAAUGAUUCAGAAUAAAAUGCACAUAAAGAGCUAAUACUUUACUCAUAUAAUGGAUGAAAGUCAUAAAAAAUUAAUACUUUAUGGGCUAUUUCUUUUUUUAAAAAAAAUAUUUAAUUUAUAUUAAAUAAAUAACCUUAUAGAUUUCCUUUUUGCAAGAAUAUUACUGUAACACUUAUUGAAUUUUACUUACAAAUAUUGAUAUAUUUAUCAUAAAUUAAAUGUUUGAAAAUAAAAUUCCCGUAAAAAGUCGGUACUUUAAAUGAGUAAUGCGUGUUUGCCCAUAAAUUAUACUCCUUAAAGUUUAUUAAUUAUUAAUUGAUUUAUAAUACUUUGUCAGUCAUUGGAUAUGUAGCACAAAGGACAAAUCUGGUACAAAAUUCUAAUUUCACUCCCAAAAAUAAUAUUUUAAUCAUUUGGACUAAAUUUGCAAAGGAUUAGUAACCUCAAGGGAGGUCAGUGUAAUUUUUCAAACCACAGGGGAGGUCAGUGCAAAUGUCAAAAACCUCAGGGGAGGUUUCUGCAAUUAUCCCUUAAAAUGGAGAGUUCAUAUUGAACAAAAAAACGUGAUCCCCUCCUAACCUCUCCAACUGCGACAGAAAGUAGGGAAGCUUUACUUUCCAGUCUACCUGACAUGCGUUCACAUAUUGCAUCAUACCAGCAGACUGCAGUGGAAGUUUUCCAUGUAAGAAGAAUUUGGGAGCCUGCAUGAAAGAUGCUAAGAGGUUUCGUCGUGACAUUAAAGAGCCAAUUCCCAGUUGGGAUCCUCUGUGUCGUUAUUCGGUGUCAAAUCCAGUGUCAAUCUCACUUAUCACGUGAUAGUAGAAGAAAUUUAAAUAAACAGCACAUGACAAAUUAAAAAAACAAGACACUUGGCAUAAAUAUAGGAGAGGCACUGAAUUGUCACGGAAAAAGUGACACUGAGAAUCCCGUGCGGUCAAUUCCACUUAACACGCUUCUAAUUUUGAAUAUUCUACUGCGAAGGUUCAGGAAAAAUUGUCAGCAAAUCACCAUAUGCACGGUAACUGCAUGCAUAUCUAUCACUUGUCUAGGUUGUAUUCUUGGUUGGAAUUUUUUUUUUUUUUUGAAUUGGGGACAUCAUAGGUAAAAAAAAAAAAAAAAAUUACUACUUUGUAAUAUAUAGUUAGUAAUAAGAGAUUACUGUUGAAGUGUCUUUCUAAAUGCUAAUGAUCAGCAUGACAAAAGAACAUUUUGUUUAGUAAUUAAUUGACCAAGCCCUCUGACGUUUGUUGAAAGUGUAGUCUUCCAUUAAAGAAAGGAAAGUAAUUAUAAAGUCUGCAUAAUAUCAGGAUAAAUCAGGGUUGUUAAGACUUCAACCAGUCAUGCUCGCCACCAACCACCACACUCCUGCCAUCCAUCCCUCUAUCUAUCUCAAUUGGGUAGGUGAAGGAGCCAAAUUACCCUACCAGAUCCCUGAUAUUGACCUACUUUUUUUUCCAAAUAUAAUUGUUCCUUUCCCACCCAUCUUUAGCUGACUGCGAUGGGAUUGCUGCCCUUUCAUUGAAGACCAGAUUUACCCCAACCAUGUCACAGCUGUUGUAGGAGUACGAUGUUCUUGGCGGAGAAGGGGCGGUACAAUUGGAAUUGUCAUGCAAUCAUGUGAUUGUUGUAUAUUUCAUAUGAUUUGGUAUAUAUUUACGUUUCUUUCUUUGUCGUGCACAUAAUUUUUGUUCUUGUAUAUCAACUCAAUAAUUUAAUACAAUUACAUUUGUAAGUAAAUGUAUAACGCCUUCUGAAAAAAGUACAACAAUUGUAUCGACUAUACGGCAGGUCUAAUUGCACUGACUGAUCCCUUCUUCUCCGUUCUGCGCCUAUGUGUGAAUCCAGAAACAGGCAACAAUUCGUGAAGAACACUUUUUACCACAAAAUAGACCUUUAUCAUUUUAUACUACCCCACCGUGUGGUUCGCGAUGGCAUGUUUUGAAUUUUGAUCUUCGAAUCAGACCUCCACGUAGAGGUGUCAAAAUGGGUGAUUUGGAUAAUGGAUAUAAGUGAGUCAACCCAUUUAUACCCAUUUAAUUAGAUGGAUAUAAAUGGGUAAGUCAAAAAAUGAUUUGGGUAACCCAAUUACCCAUUUAUAAUCCAUUUAUUUUAACUUUUUGUAAACUCAUUUAAAUUCAUUUUUGGAAACUAAGUUACGGAGGCUCGACAAAAGUAAAAGAAAAAAGAAAACAAAAAGGAAAAAGUAACAAUAAUGACAAAACAAAAGACAGAUUUUUUUUUUUUGGCAGAUUCCAUAAUUAUCUGUCAUUUUCGAUAAAUUCUGAAAUAUAAACCGGAUUAACGUUGCCACAUGUCCAACCAUGCAUGUAAUAAGUGAAAACAAUAUUACUGUGUUUACGAAUAUUGUCUUCUUAACAGAAUUUAAAUGGAGGGUUUCAUCUGUUCCGUGCUAAAACUAUAAAAAAAAAAAUAAAAUGAAAACCCUCUAUAAUUUUGUAGGAUAAAGAGUAAGCUUUCAUCGACCUUUAAAAUGUGUCAACCAAUAAUAUGAAACUCGACUGCAAAAGACAGAGAAAAAAGAAACCUAUAUAUAUAAGAGAGUGACGAGUGUGGACUAAGCCCACCACAUUUUUUUUCCUCCAAACCUUAACUUUGGUGAUAUGCUAGUGAUGUACGUAUACUAAAUUAAAAUAGAUAUCAUGAAAGUUAAAAGGUGUUUUAUGUUAUUUGACCAAGUCCAUGAAACGAAAAAAAGAAAAAGAAAUGGUAGUUAGUUAAAUUUUAUGAGCAUUGAAACCACUAUUGCAAAACGAAUUUUGUCCUUUAGAUAAUAAAUUUUGGUAUGUAAAUUAAUUUAAUUAGAAAUAUUUUAAAUUAAUUUAAUUAGAAAGAUUUCAAAUUAAUUUAAUUAGAAAGAUUUUACGUCCCAUAAAAAAAAAAAAAGAGGUUACAGAGCAUCAAGCAUCCAUGAAAUGAACAUUCGUAGCAUGAGUUGGGAACAUGGUUGAUAUUCACAUUAACCAAGAUGUUAUAAUCUUGUAGUGAAAAUCUUUAUUUUCGCAUAGGAAAACCCGUUUGAAAAAAUCAAAAGUUCAAAACCUAAUAGUUUGCAAAUAUAGAUGGAAGUGACAUCAACUAAGUUUAUACGGACUGAAGAAUAAAAAAAAAAAACAACUGAGUUUUUAAACUGAUCAGCCCACAACCUCAACCAAUGCCAAAUUUGGGUUAAAUGGUCCACUUUAGUUUAAUGUUCCUCUUUUUCUUUUUCUUUCUUUUUUUUUGAAGCAAACUCAAAUUUUAUCUGUAAUGAACAAAAAUUUUGAUAAAUCGAUAAACAGGAAUAACAAAAUUCUGAUCUUUCUUAUAAUGUUUUCCAUAUGUUAUACGGAGCGUUUUCUCCUUUUAGUUGAUAAACAUAAACCAAUAUUAUUAAUAAAUUAGUUGAAAAUCGUCCUACACGAUUUACUUAAUAAAAAAAAGCUGCACUAAUGGUAGAAAAUAUACAUAACAUAUGUUAUGCAAAGUUAAGUGGAAUUAUUUGUAAAAUCAAUUGGAUUAAUCUCAAUUAAGACACUACAAAAUAGAAAAUUACCUUGACGAGAUUAACUUGUGGUUUUCGUCAAAGUUGACCAGUAUUUGAAUUGAACUAAUUUAGAUGGCGCUGCUCUAUGCCCUUGAGAAUUGGUUGUGCAAAAUAAGUACUACCAAAGAAUUUCAUUUUUCAAAAUAGUCAAGGAAAUUAAAACAAAAGGUAGGAUAAUUUGAAUCAAUCAGUUCAUUUUCUUCUCAAGUAACUUCAACUUCUUGUGCUUCUCAAGGAUCAAUCAGUUCAUUUUCUUCUCAAGGAUAAUUGUUGUGCUUCUUAAUUCAAUUUCAACUUCAUUUUAAAGGACACUAGUUUUAACUGAUCUAAUUGUAUAGCCGACUAGAUUUGUUUCAAUUCAGUUAAUCGACAAAAUUGGUGACAAAACUUGUUGCCCCUUUUACCGCCCUUAAUAUAGAAGGUCCAUUUCCAAUCGUGCAGCCGACUGGAUUGUGAGUCAAUUUUUUCUUUCCCAUCUCAAUUUCUUGAAUUCUACCCCUUUCCUCCUAAAUUUUUUUUUUUUUUUUUUAAAAACUUCACUCUAUAUCUUCAACAUUAUCUUAACUGAAGGAGCGAAUGGGGAGGAGGGUUCUAUUUGAUAGUUCAGAAAGAGAAAGUAUAAGUAAAAUGAUUCGGAUUCGAGCUUUCUUAUUUAUGCUAAAAAAAAUUAUCUUAACUAAAUAAAAAAAAAAUCUAUUUUUGAUAGUAAUGCAUCACAUGGUCCUUUUCCCCAAUUUCGGGUAGGAACAGCUGCAACUACUCUUGAACAUUUUAAGGCCUUGAUCAGUAAAGAAAAAAUUGUAGGGUUCAGAUUACGAAGUCUACAUCAAUUUUGACAACGUAGGUGUGAAAUCCACAAAAAAUUAUACUCCCUCUGUCCCACUUUGAUAGUCCUAUUUUCUUUUUUUGUCUGUCCCAAAUUGUAGUCCACUUUCCAAUUGAAGAAAAUGUAGUUGUAUUUUAAUUUUCCUAAAAUGCCCUUAUUCAAUGUAAGUUGUUGUUACUAUAAACCUACCUCAUUUAAUGAGAGUUGAUUCUUUUUUUACCAUCAAUUCAAGUUCCCAUAAAGUUGUACUCUAUUUAAUGUGAGGGUAUUUUAGGAAAAUAGCAAUCUAAAUUUACUUUUCCAACAAAGUUAAUUACUUUUCUUAAAUUGUGUGAAAAAAGAAACAGGACUAUCAAAGUGGGACGGAGAGAGUACUAAAUUUAUGUUGUGCCCAAAUGUAUUUACAUUCUGAACAAAUGCAUGUAUAUUUUGUUGAAAUGCUUGAAACCCUUCGGGAUGGUUUCACCGGUAACGGAUCCGGCCCAGAUCCCCAUUUCUCGGAGAUUCAUCCGAGACGUAAAGGCGAGGCAGAUCGUAGAUUCGCUUUCAGUUUCAGGCUUCCAGCCACAAAGAUCUAAUGGAUCCACCACGUGCUCUGACAGGCACAAGACUAUUCCAUAAAUAUUGGCCGACGCAACGUUCCUUAUUUCUUGUGGCCAAAUAUCAGAAACAAUCAACUUAUCAAAGCCAGAGCUGAAUCUAACUUCAACAAACAUUUAUCGUUCUACCUUAAUUUAAUUUCUAAUAAAAAUGACACUUACCUAUAUGAUAUGUCCUUCCCAUCUGUGUAACAAAGAUCAAUCUAAACAUUCUUGUGAAUUUCAUAUUUGAAGGCUUCAAAAUUCUAACAAGAUUCUGACAAAGAAAAAUUUUCUCUUUCCUCCUCUUCAUUUCAUAAAUUCCAUCCCUUUUCUACUUUUUUUUUUUUAAAAAGGCUUCACUCUUAAUCUUCAACAUUAUUAUUAUUAUUAUUAUCUUCAACAUUAUUAGCUUAAGAAGACUUGUGUUAAAAUUAGUGAGUAUACAGAUCCAACUAGAUCAAGAGAAUGUUACGACACUGUCUUUAAAUUUUUUUUUAUUACAGGUGAGAUUUGAACUCUCACCGACCCCGUAUUAAAGGACUUCAAUUCCUCCCGAUGGCCGCUGAGCUUUAACGCAUCAGAUGGUCCAGUUCUCCGAACAUGUGAGACGCUGCAGUAACGGUGAGGAUAGUCGUAGUUUCAGCGACAAAUAGCUAAAGGAUCCACGUGCUCUGGCAGGCACGAGUCGAUUCCAUGAGGAGAUGCUGGGUCCACGCUUUUGCAUUUGGGUUAAUAGCAGUUUGGCGCCCCUAACUUUUGGAUGUAGUCACACAAUGAAAACUAGUCAAUGUUAGAAAUGAAAAAAAGAAAAAGAAAAAAGAGUGUAAUGAAAAUAUUGCCCUUUUAUUCAUGAAAUUAUUUAUAUAACUUACUAUCAUUUCCUUUCAUUGUUAAAAGAUUUAUAUCUUCUCUAUCGUAUCAAUUAUAAAAAAAUAUCAAAGUUAAAGAAAGGUGUUUAGUUUGUAUCCUUCAAAUUCUUCAUGUUGGAUUAAUGUUUGCUUCUAUAUAUGUUUUGUUCAAUUUAUUAGACUUUAAGUCAAACAAAAGGAAUAAAUGACAAAAUACUAAAAAUAAAUACAAUUACCAUUAUUUAAAAUUUUAGAUUAAUAACAUUGUCUUUUUUUUUUUUUGUUUCAAAUUAGUCCAAUAUGAAAUACUUAAUCAAAAUUGCUAAAAUGGUUGAUACGCCUUUUUUUUUAAAAUUAGAGAAGGAAAAUGGACAUUAAAUCUAAUAUUAUUUUUGAGAAGAAAAGGUAAAAAUAGUAAACUAUUUAAAUGUGGGGUAUGUCCUAACGAGUGCCCGGGUGUUGAUAUUUUGAAAAAAAUAGAAGAGUUAAAAUAGAGAAACUAUUUAAAUGUAAAAUAGGGUAAUAGUUAUUCAUGCGUGCACUUACAUGAUACGUAAGCAUUCAUCAGAAAAAAACCUUAAAACAAAUAAAUAUUCCAAACGAAGAAAAUCAAACUCACUAGCAUUGGCAUCAAAAUGAAAUGAAUGAUGAUUUAGAGAAGAUAUCAAAUUUGAAACUGUCCAUAUAAAUAAUACUCUCUUAUCUUUUGGACUUAUUCGGACUGGGUAAUGCAGUUGAAAAACAAGUAACACUGAUCCUAUUUUUGAAAAAUACCAAGAAAAAAGUAUCCCAACAGCUGUUUAGUUUUUGUGUACUUGUUCAGCCUAAUUCCUCGAGUGUCCUGUUUGUGCUGUACUUCUUCGGAUGCUAUUGUAUCCUCCAAAAGUUAGACAGAUGGGAUGAAUUAGUCCACUAAAACGUGGCUCAAAUGAGUACAUGAAAGACUCAAAAGUCCAGGUACUCAUAUGACAAAGCCAAAGAUUAAUCAAGGCAACAGGAACUAGUAGUGUUUUCCAUUCAUUUGUUGAAACACUGGUUUGAUUGAAAAAAAAUGGAAAAAUUAAAAUUUCAAAACUAAGGCCAGCGUUGAUUUUUUUGGCAUUUUCUUUAAUAAGUGAUACAAGAGGACAAAUCAGAAUAAAAAAAAAAUGAAUGCUCACGAUACGAUCGGCUGAUCUGAUAACAAAAAAUAGAUAGCAUUAAAGUGUCUCAAUCGUGAAACAUGUUUCAACAAAUUCCUAAACCCUCUACAGUUUUUUUUUUUUUUUUUUUUUUUGGGGAAGUCUAAGCAUCAGCUGUCGUUAUAAUUAUUGCUACCAUACUUGGACAGUUGGACUAGUAAAUGUAAAUAUGACUAAAAUGCCUGGCCAAUGGAUGACAAUACCAACCAACCAACCAAUCUAGAAGCUUGGACCUCCGCAAGGUCCAACGUGUGUUGAUGACUAAAAGCUUGAGCAAAUAUGCAAAAUUACUACUUGAAUUGCAGGCUAAAGCUGAAGUCUAAACCCUUCAAUUGGACUGCGGGAUAAUAAUAUUAUUAUAAAUCUUUAGUUAUAUAUAUACAUAUAUAUAUAUUGAAUGAGAAAAUUGAUGCAAACAUCCGUGUACAAUUGUUCAAGAAGGACAUGAUUGCUUCCUAUCAAAUUUCUUCUGAUACAGCUGCCCAUUAAGAAAUUUCGUUGAUGAUUGACAGCAUGAAGGUAAAAGAUUGUUCAAAAUGAUUAAUCAUCUUGAAGCCCAUCAUGCAGCUAACGCUAACUGUUGUAACCCUGAAAAUACUGCUCAAACGCACAAUAAAGCAAAUGUUGAUCGUUCUACGCCAGUACAUAAGCAGGAGCAGCUUUUGGGAUCGGGCGGUGAUUCGCUAUCAUGAGGGACGCUUUCAAGCUUAUCAUCCAGCUAACCUCAAUGAUUGUAGCCCAUCCCCUCAAAAUACCGCUCAAAUGUGGACAGCUUCUCCCUUCAAAUCAAACGCUACUACAAAGCAAAUUUUGAUUGUUCUUCUCCACACUGCAUAAGAAACCUUUUGGGAUUGGUGCUGCGGUGAUUCGCAAUUACGAGGGACACUUUGUUGCGGAAUUGUCCGCACAUUUCACAAUGGUCUGAUAGCCGUUGAGAUAGCUCAGGCGGUAGCAGCUCGUGAGACAAAUUGGUUUGAUUACAAAUUUAGAAAUUCCCGAUUGUAUCCUGGAGGGUGGUACACUUGAUAACAUGUUGCGUGACGAGGAAUAGGUGUUGUCGGCCAGUGCCCUAUAAUUGAGGAUGCCUAUUAUAAUUGAGGAUAUCUGACUGUCCAUAUCAGACGUAAAUUUGUUGAUGUACGAUAGAUUCUUAACGAUGACAAUAAAUAGGAUGGCACGUGAAUCAGCUUUUCUUGUUAAACUUUCAGAAAUACCCACCCCGGUCUUGCUAAACGGUUCUUUCAAUAAUUUGGUUAAUAAUCACUGCUGUGUUUGAAUAGAAGAUUAUUUGAAAUAAUUUUUUUUUUAAAAAUACUGUAGCAUUUUUUUUUUUGAUGUGAUAUAUGUGAGAUAACAAGGUGAUUGAAAAACGUAUUGAUGGUUCAAGUAAAUCAGUGUGUGUAAAUAGAAUGCAUUCCAAACACACUAAUUUUUCUUUUUUACCAAAAAAUAAAAAUUGAAAAAAAAAAUCAUUUUUUAAAAGCUUAAAAAAAUUACAUCAAUCCAUGCCAAUGGUCCGAAACGUUCCGGGAUUUGGUACCAGUAAUUAAGUUCACCCCUUCUCAAAUUACCCUUUCUCGUCGAUCCCACGGAAGAUUAGCUGCCGAAGAAUUUUGGCCCGGUAGUUCUUUGACUUUGAUUAAAAAGUAAUUAAUUAAUGUUUUUCUAAUGAAGCUCAUCUAGAACAAAACUUUUUCGUUUUCCGUGCCAUCCGAGAUCACCUAUAUAAGUUCCUUUUUCACGCUUUUAUUUUAAGUUUGACGAUUAUGCAACAGAAAUUAAUACAUGUAGUGGUCUGUUUGAUUGGGUGUAAGAUAUUUUCCCUGGAAAGAAAAUUUUUUCAAAGGAAAUAAAUGCUUUCCUAUUCGUUUACCGGUGUUUGGUUGACUAGUUGUUGGUCCUAGAAAUUUAAGCCCAUUAGAUCUCGAAUAUCCAACCACAACAACACCUUGCAUCCGAAAUACAUUUUACCAGACAACCAAAUUCAAGAAUUUGGCACCAAUAUUUUAGGCAAUAGGUUUGACAUUCAGCAUUUGAGAUGAAUUUUCAAUUGAGAAACAAUUUCCAAUUUUUUAAUUAAAAAAACGUAAAAUUCAUAUAUUCAAAUAUGACCAAAAUGCAUUAUGACCACGGCAUUAGCCCAAUUCAUUUUUGACUUAUCCAUUUAUACACAUCUAAUUAAAUGGAUAUAAAUAGGUUGACUCACUUAUACCCAUUACCCAUUUCCCAUUUUACCCAACCCAAACUUGUCCAAAUCACCCAUUUUGACACCUCUAGUCUGGCUGCCUAACAAGAUAUUGCCAUUAAGAAACGAAGAAUACGAAAAGUAAUAUGAAUUGAAUCGUAUUACUAAGAAGGAGGAGCUUGUCCUCAAGAGGCUUUUAUUAGUUUCCACAAAUUUAGCAAGCAGUAAACAUCACAAAAUGGUCAAAGGAACCACCAGUUUUUGCUAAAGUUGAUCGGUUUUUCAGAUUAAAAAAAAAAUAGAUUAACUUUUUUUUAUACACUAUCAGUGUACAAAUCAGUUAUGCAAAAUCAUUUUAAAAGGUUUUGGCAAGACAAAUUUUUUUAAAAAUUUUGGGCCAUAUUACAAGUAUGCCACCAAAACAAACACUACAUUCAAUUUCAGUCAAAAGCCACAAAAAAUAUGUCGGAUUUCUAAGGCGUUCUUUUUAAAAAAAAAUAAAGAAAAAAUUGCCAUGCCAAAUUUUUUUUAAUGAUUUUAAUGAACGCCACACUGUGGGCUUCCUUUUUUUCACCCUUUUGUCCAUCGGCAGAAUCUUGUGUUAUUGGUGGCUCAGCCCAAAAAGAACUAGAUUGGUUAGGUAUAUAUAACUGAUGGACUAAAUUGGUUAGGUAUAUAAAAAGUUUAGGGACUAUUUUCGCUUCUGAUAAAUAAUUUAUGGACUUUUCUGGCCUUUUGCUCCUUUUAAAAAAUAAAAAAAAAAUUGCAAAACCUUAAUUAUAGGUGAAAUAAAGCACUGGGUUUUUUAAUUCAUUGAUUGAGUAAAUUGCAGUGUGGAACUUGUUCAAACAAUCCGUACAAAAUUGGAUGCAAAUGGUUGGAAUAGCACUAAAGUAGCGAGAAGAUGGGUGGCCAGAAAAUUGGAACUUUUAGUUUAGAAAGUUUUGUGGUUAUUGCAGGUCGAAUUCAGAAGAAAAGGCAAAAAGCCAGCAAACUUGAUUUUGAGGCCUUUGUUAACGUCAAUAAUGUCGAACAUCAACUUCCAGUUGUCCCAACAUUUGAGGAAUUGCUUCACCUAAGUUUCAUAUCCGUGAUAAAAGUAGUAUGUUUUAUUUCUCGAAUUUCCUCAAAAUGUGUGUUCAUUAAUCUUCUCCCUGUUUUGUUGAGUUUCUGCCACAAUGUAAUAUUCCUAUAAUUGGCUAAUUCCUUUUACAAUAGCUAAACAGGAUAGAAUCUCAGUAACUUGAUCACGUAAGAAGUAGAUAACAUAUAUGCUUAGCCCCAAACUUUCUCGUGAUUAUUUAUAUGGUACCAUUUACGGUUCUAUGACUGAAACCAACCAUCUUUGCUUCAUAUAUCUUCGUUCUUAUGAGUAACAAUUAAUCCUUCUGGUGCUCGAAGGAUGGCAGGUUCCGAAUUAAAGAACGUAAGAAUAAAGAAGUCUUUGCAAGCAAUUAUUACUGAGCUAUUCAAGUUGCAGCAGCGUAACGGCGAUUGAAAUAUGGAUUCAUCUCUUUAACGUUAACCUUCUCCCAAAAAUUUCACUUUGCCAAAGUUUGGUUGAAAUUCUUUUUAGAGUUAAUCGAGUUUUAGACUGCCGGUUUGCAAGGAAAUAUAUGUCAUGAUUGAUCGAGCUGUGUGUUAGCAGCCGAAUAAUAGAUUUUUAACACAGUCCUCGCGAUUUCUAGCAGCACGUGAAGGUUAGAUGACGGGAGGGUCAUGUUGAGUUCGGUGAUAAGAUGAAAGAAACUGUAAGUAAGAGAUUAUGAGUUCAAAAUUUUUUACUUACAAAUAGGAAGAAGAAGUAGAAGAGAAGGAAGAACGCUGUAUAAAGAGUUUAAUGGAAGGCAUUCUUGAUAUUAUAUUUGUAUAAUUAUCUUAGUUUUUUUGUUGGGUCACGAAAAAAGAUUGAAGCUUCAAGAAUUCUUAGAGCUUGUUUGGCUUGCCACCAUUAAAUGCCCAAUUUAAGCAGCGGAACCAGCAGAAUUAAUGGAAGCCUUAUAGAUCUAUAAAUUCGAAUUGAAAAUGGGGAAAACACCUUUUAUUCAUUUUGAUGUGUCAAACAAAAAGGGGCCAAUAUACAGCUAUUUGGACGUGCAUUCAAUGUGAGGGUGACAUGCUGCCACGCCCAACAGGAUUUGCCACUGUCAAAGCCUAUGCACAGCAAUCACUGUCGAAGUGUCCAACAAACAGCUAAUAGAUCAGCCUCUCUCUCUCCAUCCAUAUAGUGGGAUUAAUUGGGUCGUACGGUAUUAUCAGUCCAUGGGCCCUAGAUACCCACUAUGAGGACCAAAAAAAAAAAAAAAAAGCAAGUAGAUCAGCGACUGGACCGCUACGCUGAUGCAUCAUGUCCAACUGCUCACUAACUUGUUCUUCAUGUGAUCCUUUACAUUAACACCAAUAAAUAUGAAUGUUCUUAGUUUUAAGCAGACAAAACUUUGGCCCAUUGGGUAACUGUCUUUUGAUGGAUGAUGAACUUGGGCCAAACCCGUCAUAUGUAUUACUUUUGGAUUAGCUGAGUUCCUAAAUUUUUAAAAUCAGAAUCUGAAAAAUAGAUUUGUUAUAGGCUCUUGGUCUUAGCACUUUUAUUAAAGCUUCCUAAAAAGCACGAACUGGAAGAAAAACCAGCGGGUGGCAUCACAACAUGGGUUUUUCUAAAUGAAAAGUGGAUUUUCCACAAAGGCUGUUGAGAACCGGCCCUAUCUGUAAAUGGGCCUCACGAGAAGAUGGUGAACUGAAAAAUCUAUACCCGGACGUCUAAAUAUAAAAGGAACAAAAAGUGGUGUGUUGUGCUCUUCUUCUCAUCAAUCAAUCAUCAAUGCCAUGAUCGAAAUCGUGCUUGACUGAUCAUGGAAGCUGUGAUAGCAUAAAGCCCAAGUCGAUGAUAUGCAGUUCAACUCGACACAACUCAGUUCACCUUUAACGUAUACUACCACCAUUGAUGGGAUUAGGACGGGUACAAUUAAAAUUUAGUACAAUUAGUGCGUUUGUCUUCGUACUUCUUUUGUGUAAAUUAAUGCAUGUUUACGAAAAAAAAAAAAAAAAAACUUUUGUCGGUCAAGUACCGGUCGACAGUGCUAGAUUAAGGUAGGGGAGGAGAAAGAAGGAAAAAGGUAAAAAGAAACAUUUUUGUGGUUUUCGAAGUGUAUAUUUUAAAAAAUUUUGAAGUGUUUUAAAGGUUACUGUAAAUAAAAUUGUAAAAAAUAAAAAAUAAAAAAUUCUCUAUUAAAAAUACGGUAAAAAACUCGUCAUCCAUCCAAAUGAAUGAAGUAGUUACAAUGUACAUCAUCAUGAACAAAGUUUACAUACACAAUAAUAAAGUAAUGCUAGCAUUUACCAAAUUCAUGUAACAAUUGGACAAUCGCACCGACCUCAAACCCUUUUCCUUCCAGGUGGAUGGGACAAGUUACCUCCAGGCACGCCUUAUUAGCUCAACCAUCUUUCGUAGUAGGGUAUAUACAUUAUUAUUAUUUGCAAUCGAUGGAUGAAUUUCGUUUUUUACUCAAAAAAAUUUGACCAAAUCCUGUAAGAUCUUUUAAUAAUAAUGAUACACUUUUAUCUUAUAAUUAAUAAAUCUUUCCUACACUGACGGUGUAUACGCUAUCAUCGUUGGAUUCAUGACAUGUGUACAAACGUUGAAUUUCAAAUUCAAAUUUUGCAUAGUUGUCAAUCAUCCAACGCUGAUAGUAUAUACACUGUCAGUGUAGGAAAGAUUAAUCCAUAUAUAUAUACUAGCACAUAGAGGUAUCACCAGACCAAUCUGACUUGAUUCAUUUUUAAUCAUCAGCCAGCAGUCAACCUUAAUUUCUUCUUCUGCUCUAGAUCUUGUUUUUUGUUGUUAAUUUAUUAUUUUGAUUUGAAAAGUAUCGAGAAAUUUGCAUUUGGAAUCAUAAAGGUGCCGAAUCCGGAGUUCAAAUGUGUGAUUUGACGCUGCCAUUUGACAAGUUUGCCACAUGCACUGGGAGUAGAAGAGAAUAAUUCAAAAGCACCAAACAGGUUCUAUCUGUAUCUUAAGAGCUAAGGAAGCCAAUGAAAUAAACAAUAUGGAAACAUUUUUAGUGAUGAUUGCUGAGUUAUUGAAUUGGUCAAGUUGCGUGUCUUAGUUCAAUAUGCUUGGUUAAAUUAAAAAAAAAAAAAACCCAAUAUUGUCAAACGUACAGACCACGGAGGUUUUUAUCAUGUAACGUAAUGAUGGAAGUAUUAUUUUCAAUUGAUUAUUUUAAUGGAUUUUGAUUUCAGAUAAUUUAGUUUUUGUGAUGUUCCAGUUGCUUUUAUAUUCUAAUUAUAGAUUUUAUAGUGAUAAAAAAAACCUAAAAUCUAUAACGAGUCAAAAAGUAAUUUUUGCUGAUUCUAAUUACUCUCCAUCAUGAUCUGUUUCUAUAAUCAGAUUUUAUAAAAUCUAAAGUAAUCGAGAACAAGUCCUAUAUAUAAUAAAUAUGGGCUGAUAGAUGGAAGUAAAUCUCGGUCAACAUUAUAGAUUUUUUUUUUUUUUCGAAAAAAUAGAAAAUCGUAGAUCUAUCAUACUUCUAGAAGUGCAUUCUCCUUGAAAAUUCAAUAUGUUCACAUCAUCUUUUUUUAAUUUAGUACUGUAGUAUAUUUGCAUUCUUGUUUGAAUUUAACGUUUCGUGUAGGUUUUCUUUUUUUUUUAAAAAAAAAAAAAAAAGUUUUGGACAUGCACUUGUUGGAUUCUGACUUCGUCUAGAAAUGGGAGGAAUCGUUUUGGUAUUCCUAUUCCACAUGGUGGAAAAUGUAUGGUUUGGUUCGCAGGAAACAACUCGCACGAUAUCUUUUAGUAGUACUAUUAAACAAAACAUGAUCAAGGAGUUUCCAGGAGACAAAGCACACCUAGAAAAACAAAGCUGAGAAACAACCUCUGAUUUCCCCGGAACCAAGAGCAAUUAAAUUAACCACUUGGACGCCUUUCUUUGAUUUUUCAGCACUCAAGUGAUUUAACAGCUGUAAUCUCCUAAUUAAUAAAGCCAAAUCAAGAGAUACAACAGCCCACAAACAAAAGCUGCAGGAGGAAUGCAAUUAAUUAUAGCCCGUUGUAGUUGUUGCUGUUGACAUGGUCCUAAUGUUGUUGAUUUUUCCUCCGGUCGAUUUGCCUUUUCUGUCUAUUAGAAUUUUAAGUAGAAUUAGAAUUAGAACUAUAACUCUCUUUUUUUUUUGAGAAAAAUCAAAAUAGCAGAUGUUAUUCAAUACAAUAAUGCUGUUGAUAAGUUCUAUUAUAGCCUCUCUCCUUUUUUUUUUUUGGGACGAGAAUCAAUAGUGAUUUCUCACGUACCUCUUUGAUAAAAUUUUAGUUUUAAAAUAUUCGUCUGUUGUUAAUUUUUUCUGAAAUUAGCUCAAGUGGAAUGAUACUAAUGGUGAUUGAGUUGGAUUUAUCAAAAUUAUCGAUUAACGAGCUUGUUGCCAAAUCAUUGGUCAUCGAGGCAUUUGCCGCCCUUGACGAAUAAUAACAUGUACUAUAUAGUUUUCAAAGCCAGAAUAAAAGAUGCCUAAUAUCUGACUUUCAUUCCUUCCGUUAACAUUUUCCUCUCCAUUUUCUUGACGUGUCUAAUAUCUAAUCCUUUUUUUCCUAGUUGCUACUACAAUUUAUUUCUUCACCCCCGUCGGCCCAGAAAAGAUAAUUUAUUACCCAAAUUGCCAAAUUUCAUGAUGAGUUUCCUUUGCUUUAGCUUAGGUGGGACUGUUAGAUGAUGUAUCAGCGUCAAACUUAAAUACGUGACAGGGAUAUUGACAUGCAGACAGUCAACUUUGUAUUUCGUGUCCAUUCAAUUUAGACGAGAAAUAAAUUAAUUUAUAGCAAUCCUCAAUCUUAACACGUAAGCUGGUCAAUGAGAAUCCACCAAUUUCCCAAAAAAUCACAUAAUAAUCCAUCUGCAAGACAUCGAAAGGUUAAACUACUACAUGGGUAAGAAUUUUUAACCCUCUCUACUUUAAAAUUCAUGCUGGAAUCCGAAAGUUAUCUUCUAGGAGGCAAAAGGAAUACUUUGUGCAAAGAUUUCAUCGCUUGGGCACGUAUAGAUGCUUAUAUAUAACUAGCGAUGGAGGCACACUCUCGAUGCAUGUGUAAUUUAUUAAAAAAUAUCUUUAAUUGCAAGAAUUACAAAAAUAAUGCAAGCAAAAAUAAAAAAAAUCGUUGGUAAGGAAGAAUGUGAGAAUUGGAGGGAGGUAGUUUUAGUGGACAUCAGUUGAUAAUAGAAAUAAGAAUUAAUAGAUAAUAAAGAUAAGGAUUAAUUGAUAUAGAGCUAAGGAUAAAUUUAAAAAUAUACAAAGCUAAUACCAAGUUAAUUACCUAUACAGACUUUAAUUAUUGUAAAGAUAUCUCUCGAGAUUUUUCGAAACCGCCCAAUCUUUUUGAUUUAUCAGAAAUUUAACAUUUUCAUUAUGCUCAUGUUGUCAUGAAGACCCUUGGUACUUUGAGGAAAAAAUAGUGCUAACCCAGUUCUGCAAAUUGAUUUUAAUGAAGUAUCUCCGAAUUUCAUUCAUUUUGAGUAAACUCAGAGGAUUACAAUUUUACAGCUGACAAGCGGACAAGUAUUUUGACGCAAGAAUUUAUUCUUCCGACUUUGUCGUUGUGCUGAAUAACACAGCCCGAGUUAAAGCCUAGCCUGGAACAAAUUUUUGGCUGCUUUUUGAAGUAUUUGACACCGUGUCUCUGUUUUUGGCGGUUUCGUUUUCCCUCUCUUCGUUAGUCGUUACCUGUAGAGUGUAGACUUCACCGGAUGACUAAAUAAAUUUGCUUCUUAGAUUCUAUCGACAAUAACAAUUCCUUCAACCUUAAUUUUUCUUGUUCUGGUUUUUACCUUUUUAAUCUGUUCUUCUUUCCAUCUAUAUUCCAAUUCUGCAUUGCCUUCGUCCAGCUUCAAUUCCUCGAUUCUGUAAAGACUGUAUGUGCGUCAGUUGUUAAAGUUGAGAAGGGAAAAGCAGAGAAUCCGCAUGGGAUUCCUGAGCACUUUCUUCGGAAUUUUUGGUUUCUUGGUCGGGUCUCUGAUUGGAAUCGUGUUGGGUUUUUAUCUUUCAUCUAUGCGGAGCCUGAACACGUUGAGGUGAUCAGUUAUUAAAGUUCUUGUAGUUCUUGAAUUCCUUUAUUUUAUUAUUAUUGAAUGAGUUUAGAACUGUUUUUUGAAAGUCUUGCUAAAUUCUGUCUGAUGAUUUCUUUUAUGGUUACAAGGCGUAUUGUUAUUUGAUGGGUUUUCCUGAUUUUCUGUUAGUGCAUUCUAUUGUUAAGUUUUGCAUGAUCAUGCGUUUCAGGGUUCUGUUCCAAUGUCUUUUGCCUUGUGUUAUCAUCAGCUUCAAAUCCCUUGAUGCUGCUAAGAAAUUUGGAGGUUCUAUCUGAUGCAUCGGUUAUUUUCUGGUUUUUUCUCCCCCCAAAUGAACAUGUUUCUGAACCUUUCCAAUUAGGUGAAGGAGCAUGAAAGAUUAUAUUUGUUGUUUGUAAGUUUAUCUUGAAUGAGAUGUAAAAGGAACUGUCAUACCAGCUGUUUCCAAUUAAGAAUUAGCCUCUUCUUGCUAUUCCAAUCUCUCUUCCGUGGACUGGAGGAGGUAUGCACCAGAUGUUGCAGGGGAGAUAUUCUAUUGGAAGCCAAAUCCCAUUCUUAGUCCAACAUGAAACUCAAACUACCCGCUUUUAAACAUCUAACUGCCUGCUUUUAAAGGGCUUACACUUUACACCAAUGACUGAAACAAUCCAAUUCCACUGUUGCAGCAAUAUGGAAUAACCUGCAUUUCAAUGCCAUUAUGUGCUGAUCCUCAUUGAAUGAAAACAGUUCACGGUACAAAAGAAAAUAAGUAUGCAAGAUGGAGAUUGUAAUGAUGAUUGUUGUGUAUAAAGAAAUUAGAUAAGGCUUAAUCAACAUUGUCCGAUUGCUGUCUAAAAGUUGCAAUAAUUUUGUGUAUUUGUAUCAUGCAUAUGAAAAUUUUACUGCUUAUUUUGUGUGGCAAAUUCAAGUGAUCCUUUUGCGGUCAGUCAAUUUUGCAUGCUUUAUGUCUUUAGAUAUCCAUUUCCGUGUUCAAAUGCUUGCAGAACAACACAUGAAGAACAUGAAAGAUGUUUUUUUAAAUGCUUUAUCUAAACAUGGAUAAGAACAGAUUCGCCUAUUGAGGCAAUUAUUUGAAUUUACAGGAUCCCAAAGGCAAGGCACUUGACAAGCUCGAUACAACUGAAAUGCAAGAUCUUAUGCCUGAAAUUCCAUGGUGGGUGAAGAAUCCUGAUUAUGAGAGGGUAAGAUUUUGUCUUCAAUUCUUCCAGAUGAGGCUGUUUACUUAAUUUCUUUUAAUCACGUUUUCUGAUUUCUUGAUCUUUGAACCAUCAUUGUGGGUCACGCAGGUAGACUGGUUAAACAAAUUUAUUCAUGACAUGUGGCCUUUCAUUGAUAAGGUAAUUUUGUGAUGAUUAAGACUUUAUUGUUCGUGAUCAGAAAUAGUAAAUUCGGGUUCAUUCACUCUACAGGCAAGCCAUGGAACCAUUAGAAGCAUAGCAGAGCCUAUAUUUGCUGACUACAUAGGGAUGUGUAAGAUAGAAUCAAUUGAAUUUGAAAAAAUAAGCCUUGGAACUCUUUCACCAACAAUUCAUGGUGAGUUUUUCCUUUAGAGUUUUGGUGGCAAAUGUAGUUGCUGCUUCAUGUGCCCUUUGAUUCUGUUAUGUCACAGUUCAAUAGCUUCUUUUAAGUACUAGGGCAUAUAUAGUCACGUCUCUUUGAUGUUUAAAAUCGUUAGAAAAUUUAAUCAUGAUUUUCAGUAUAUGCAUACUCAUUGACUGGAUGUUAUCAUGUCUUGACAGGUCUUAAAGUUUACGAGACAAAUGAGAGUGAACUAGUAAUGGAGCCAGCAAUUAAGUGGGCGGGAAAUCCUGACAUAUUAGUCACCGUAAAGUUAGCAUCUUUAAGAAUCUUAAUCCAGGUUAGAAGAGCACAGAAAAAAUAAGACCUUACAACAGCGAAUUUAUGUGGUUCUAGGAAGAGGUCAUUUUUGUUGAAGGAUUGACGUGCUUCUUACCAGUUGGUGGACAUACAAAUUGAAGCAGCUCCACGUAUCACAUUAAAGCCUCUCGUGUGAAGAGUGAGUGACUUUGUUUGAAUUAGAUUAACGCAGAUAUUCAAGUUUUGUUAAUCUACUUUCAUUUGCGACCCCGUCUCAAAGAAUUUGGAGAUUUUAGGAGUUGGAUUACGACAGGAAUUGGGCUAGAUUUGUGAUCAUCGCAGAGAGUGCAGACAGGAAGAAGAAAGAAAGGAAAUGCGUAGAGAAUGUUUUGUGGGGCGAAGGCCAGAAAGGCGAGAGAGGCCGUGCGGGCUAAUUGGUGGUUUUGAAGUGAAAAAGUCUUUUUCACUGUCCAGGCCGUGUUUGGAUGUUGGCGCCUUCACGACUUGGGGAUUUGUUCAAAUAAGGUCGGGAUGCAGAGGUAAUGUUGACCAGAAUGGCGGAUUGCUGGGACAUGGGGAUUUAUUUUAAUUGAUCAUUGCAUAAGGUGUCAGUUGAUCAGGAUUAUGAAGCCCCUUUUUCAUUUCUGGUUUUCUGCACGAAAGGUUUUUUAAGCGUCAACUUUUUCGAAAAUAAUUGUUAUAUAAGUUAAAACAGACUUUUUUUUGCGUCAGAAAAUAAUAAUGAAGGCUCUUACUGGAAUUGAUAGGCUGAGCUGUUUGUCAAAUAAAUUUCCUAGGCAAUGUCAUCAGGUCAACAUAAUCAAAUGACCAAAACAUUUGCAAUUGCAGACUUUCGUCCUUAUCCUCGUAAGAGAAAAAUGAAGCAAGAACAAAAGAAACACUUAACAUAUGAAAAAAAAAAGGAAAAAAAAAAGGAUGAAACUGGGGAAUUGUAGCUGUACCAGAAGGAACCCGGUUGUGUCAGCCCAGCUUAGGCUCACCUACAGAUUUCUAACUAAAACUGAUCACAUUAUAAUUUGCUCUCAAAUAAAGAGCAAUUACAAUUGUCAAAAUAUGAGUCUAAAAAAUAAUGUUUAUUUUUAGUGGAACGUACCAAAAGUUUGCUCCAACUUACUUAUUGUGAUGCAGUAGAGAUUUUUCUUACUGUAUUGUAUGGACAAACAACAGUAAAUAAUUCAAAAACCAAACACAUGAGAAUUGAGAAAUGUAAAACAAUGUUAAUAUAAAUGAUAUAUGCUUCACAAAGUUCAAAUAACACGCUAAUAUUAUAAUUACAGACACGUAAAUUUUUUCCACUAUUUUUUUUGUCAAACGAGACAUCAUCAUGUAAAAAUUUCCAUCCUACAAAUUCGCAACAAAACUUGUAAGAAAUUCGAAUGGAAGGCUGUCCAAUGCAUAGAAACGGCACAGAAAUUUAGUACCAAAGAUUUACUAAAAAGUGCAAGAUUCAAUUAUGUAUUGAAAGGGAACUAAAACAUCAUAGUUGCAAAAUACACAUUUUGUAUUUAGAUUCAAGAUAAACCUCGCAUAUGGAGAAUCAAAUUUUAGACCUAAAUAAUGGAAGGCUAAAUGAAUAUCAAGGAGAUCAAGCCAAAAUAAAUUAAUACACCGUGGUAACAGGACAAAGAGGCAAAAAAGGAAAAAUGAUAAAGGCUAAAUAAAAUACAAUUAAUGAAAAAAAAAAAAACUUAAAGUCCAUAUUUGAUAGAGUGAAGUGGGAAAAAAAAGGAAUAAAAAUAAAAUGGAACAUACCACACAGUAGGAGUAGAAGAGAUAAAAGAUCUAUUGUCUAUGUUUCCCCUAAAAGAAAGAGAUGAUAAUGAAUCAUGAUUUUUUAACAAGGAAAGAAAAGAAAUAUUCUUUCUCUUACAAGAAAACACAUGCAUUCAGUUAAUUAUAAAAGAAAUAAGAAAGGAUGUAUUGACUGAGUGGAAGGAGGAAAGGUAGAGAAAAAUUAAGAUGAAGGAAAAAAAAUGAGAAAAGCAAAAUAUUGGAUUAAAGAUUUAAAAUUAAUAGAAGAAGAAGUAAUAGUAUAAAUCAGUUGAUUGUUGUGUGGUCAAUAAUAAUCACCUAAAAAAUAGAAAGAAAACAAUUUGAGUAUAAUUAAUUAUAAAGAAAAAAUUUGAAAGGGAAAAAAGAAAGUUGAAGAAAAUAUAGGGAGAUGAGGAUUAAAGGCAGAGGCAGAAAAAGAAAGAAGAAAAGAAUUGGGAGAAAUAAUGUUUAUAAUUUUUGGCUAAUCAAAGAAAACAGUGGAGCAAAAAUUUAACUAAAAAUGGAAACUGAUAAUUGUCAAAAAUAUAAACAAUACAUGUAUCAAAAGCAUGGGUUGUUGUAGUAACUUAGCUUUCUUCUCAUGUGCUUUAUACCAGGGGAAUUAGGCUGUGUAAGGCACAAUCUUGGCCCUCCAAAAUACUCUUAUUUAUGUCCCUAUUACUACAAAUUUCACAUUGUAUGGUCCAAAGACUACAUCAUCAAUAAGCUCACAUACCAUUCCUAAUCACAUAACAAAGACAUAAUUGACAUAAGUAUAGCUUAAUAACAGAAUUGUCAUUUAUGUAACUAUCAAGUAAAUCUAGAAGCAACUAUAUCUUGGACUAUUUUGAGUCCAAACAAAAGGAAUAAAUGGAGUGAAAAAGAAAUGAGAGAUGUGCCACUUGUCAAUAAAAAGAAUACUCCCUCCGUCCCACUUUGAUAGUCUUGUAUUCCUUUUUUAUCUGUCUCAAUUUGUAGUCCACUUUCCAAUUAAAGAAUGUAAUUGUAUUUUAAUUUUUCUAAAAUACCCUUAUUCAAUGUAAGUAGUUGUUACUAUAAACCUAUCUCAGAGAGUUGAUUCUUUUUUUACCAUUAAUUUAAGUUCCCAUAAAGUUGUACCAUAUUUAAUGUGAGGAUAUUUUAAGAAAAUAGCAAUCUAAAUUUACUUUUCCAACAAAGUUAAUUAUUUUUUCUUAAACUGUGUGAAAAAAGAAACAAAACUAUCAAAAUGGGACGGAGGGAGUAUUAUAUGUGGCAAGAAGAGAGACUUUUACAAUCCCUCACCCUCUCUUUUUAUUAUACUCGAGGGAUGCAAGGCAGACAUGUCUAUGUUACAAUAAUAAUCUCACAGUUUUUAAAAUAAAACAUCUUCUUUAAAAAUAAAAAAUCUUUUCGAAGCUCUCAAAAGUAAUAAUUGUACCUUUAGUACUAGGUUUUUAAUGCAUGUAUUUUUCUUCAUCCGGCCUCUUUUUUAAAGUUUUAAUGGCGGCUGAGAACUGCGAAAAUAACCAGUCAAAUAAACACGAAUGUGUUGGAUUGAGCUAACUAGUUUUCAAAGUAGUCCAUAUGCCGAUACCUUAGAUAGAGACACUUGAGAAAGAAAACCUUAAAAGAAGGUAAAAUCGAUUGGAAAGAAAACAGCAUUACUUUAUUAUGAAUGUUUGGCAGUCCUAUUGAGAUACCAAAGUCAUGCGAUAGUUAGUGGGACUGGCAGAAACCUACCCCCCACCAGAAACUCCACCAAGCAGAAAACCAUCAAAAUGGCAGAAAACUUUCCCCUAGACAAAAACUGCUCGACUAUGGGAGUAUUUCUGAGCAAUGUCCUACACUUUUUUCAGUACUUUUUGGCUGAGAAAGAGGGCCGAGUACUUGCAAUUCCAAAACAUAACUUGAAGAAGGAACUGAAAUACUUGAUGAGAGGCCUUGGCAUCUUUGCAUUAGCUCUUCUUGUUAUUGUGCUCAGUCUUGGUUUUUGUCGGACUUGUACCAGAAACUUUGUCUGCCUCAUAAUUUGUCAGCCUGACUCAUACAGCUAUACCAAAGCUGUACGCUUCAUUAUUAGUCAGUCAGGUAAUGGUCCCUCAGAUGGACAAAGAACUAAACCAAUGGAAUUUGGAGAAGAUACUGUAGCACGCGGGAGAUGACCUUUGCAAAAUUUGUAAAGUAAAUGGAACGCGGCUUAAACAGUCUCUUUAGACUUCUCAUCCUUUCUGUAUAAUAUGAUAGUUUAGAUUAUAUAAAUGUUAUUAUUGUAACAAAAAAAAAAAAAAAUUCGGCUUAACCCUUCUUGAGAUGCUAAAACAUGAAUCAUGUUUUCCUACUUCCUGAAGCAAGAAGCAUAGUUUAUCUCUUGAGAGAAAUUUUAAAUAGAAAUUGUAGGCAUCCUCAUGCUUGAAAGUGAUUUAUAUUUACCUAAAGUUACUAAGAAGUUAAAACAAUCGCUUGAUUUAAGAAUUUAAAGCUAGAGUCCGCAUGAGUCAAUGAAUUACAUUUGGUUAAUUUGCCAUAUUUUUGUAUAUAUAGCACGAUUUUAUUUGCCGACUCAUGAUAAUGGAUAUCACACCAUGAAGUAAAUCGAGGAUUGAAAAUAUACCCAUGCGUUAAUGAAGUCUAUAUUAUGGCUCUUAAGCCGAGUGUCUCGACACACUUAAAUUAUUUAUUUAGAAAAUAUAUAUUAUCCAAAUAAAAUCUAUAAGUAUCAUUAACUAAAGGAAAAGAAAAGGAGUUUCAACAAUUUAAGGGCGUAAUCUCAAGCCCUUGAUAUUAUCUUGAAACAUUUAUUACAAGCGUAUGUAUACUUUGCUUUUAAAUUUACUAAAGUUUCUUGAUAAAUAGCUUAAUUGUUAAAAAUGUAAUAUAGGGAUAAAGUGGCUAAGGUUUGAGAAUGACCAAAAAAGUUGGUCAUUAGAAUGAUAUUGGAGAAGACGUGAAGGGCCUCCGUGUAAUUAACUCAGAAUAAAAGCAGCUACAGGUUGGUGUCAUGUCAUCUCAAGAAAAAGGGUUUAUGGUUUAGGGUUUAUACCCGCCGGUCAGCCGAGUAACAACAGAGUCCAAUUGGAAAUCAGGCUAGUCUUUUUGGCUUUCCGUCGGCCGUUCUUCCGCCGAGAUGGAGGAGGACGAAGGCGAUAACAAACCAAAAACUCUAGAAUUCGUGAAUGCGGCAUCUCACCAGGCCAAGCUUAAAGAGCUUUUGCGGAACUUAACUUCUACGCAAUCAAAACUCUGUUCAGACGCCUCAAAGGAAUUCAUAAAGAUCCUCAAAUCCGAUUCUGGACCACAAUUUCUCACCUUUUACAUCCAAUCAUCACCAAAAUGCGUCGAACUCCAACAAGCUUGGGAGCUCCGGCAAGGCAAGCCCGGAUUUUCCGACUGUUUGAAAUUAGUUUCGGCAAUUUUCAGAUAUCCUUUUGGAAAAGAUAGUGAUAAAGAUGUCAGUAAUUAUAGUUUUGUUAGUAGCGCUUUAGAUAAGUUUGCGCGUGUAAUUACUGAGGGAAAAAUGGGGGAUUUGUACGAGGAGUUGAACAGUAAAGAUGCGAAAAGGCAGAAAGCUGUCUUGUUGUUGUUGGCUUCUAUAGUUAGGCGUGGGCCGGGUUUGGCGUGGGAGGUGGCAAAGGGUUUUGAUUUUAAAACUGGGAAUUUCUCCAAGCUUGCUGAGUGGAAGGCGAGGGGGAAUGAGGGGAUGAGGAGGUAUUUGACGAGGAAGGAAUUUGUUGGUUUUGCUAUGUCAUUUUUGGAAGUGGGGAAUCCGCGGCUGUUGAGAGGGAUUUUGCAGCAGAAGGAUAUGUAUUCAGGGGUGCUUCGUGGGUUGGGAACUGAUGAUGAGGAGAUUGUGGUUUAUGUUCUUCUGACGUUGCGGAAUAGAGUACUUGUCCCGGAGUCGUUGGUGCCUCCGGGCCUAAGAAGCGUGUUGUUUGGGAGUGCUACUCUGGAGCAAUUGAUAAGCAUUUCAGGGAGGCAGGAUGGUGGGCUUGCUGCUGAGGUGGCGCAUAGUGUGCUAGUAAUGGUGUGUACGGAUCCUUCUAACGGGUUGAUGCCAGAUUUAGAGAGGCAGCCUAAUCCUUUGAAGGGAAAUGUGAAGCGAUUAGUGGAUCUUAUGAAGAAGCUCAAACCCACAGAGGUUGAGUACCACAAAGACCUGCUUUUGGCCAUUGUAAAAGGGAGGCCGGCCUUUGGGUCAGCAUACUUGGAGAACUUCCCUCAUAAUCUUGAAGACCUGGCAUCACCUAACUGGUUAGAUAUUUGGCUUUUUUACUUGACUUUGGGUAUUUGAUUUAUUUCCUUUGUUGCGACUGAAAUAGUUGCAGGUUUUCUGCUAUUUCUCUGGCUGCAGAUGUCAUGUCCUCAGUUGGUGAUGGAUUUACAUGUGCCUAUGUUAACUCUCAGUCUCAGGAGCCCCCAUCCAUUGACAAUCUGAUAGUCCAAGACAUUAUAAAGUGCAUAGGGCCACGCCCAUUCACCCGAUUGGUAAUGAAUAAAGGGUUGCUUCACUCUGAUCCUCUUGUGAAACAUGUAACUCUGAGGCUUGUAUCGGAGAAACUAAAGCUUCUCGACUUUUUAAUUGGCUCUUUAAAUGAUCUGUCCAGUUCCAGUGAUCAAGUGAUGCAUAAGUGGGCAUCUUUCAAGCGAGAUGUUCAGAAUGUAGUCCAGAUUUUACUUCCUGAUCCCCAGGUGCUAUUAUCACUACUUUCUUCACUCAGUGGCUACUGCAAGAGUCCUGCAUCAAGAAUGAAGAGGGCUGCAGAUGUAGAUGUUACAGUCGAGCAUAAUUUGCACAAGAGGAAGAAGUUGAAGAUGAAUAGCGUGGAUGAGGACAUGGAUAUUCUCGUCAGUGGGGUUAGUUCAACCACUGAAGGGGCUUUGACUGAGAAUGAUGGAGUUUCAGAAGAGGAUGUUGAGGAUCAGCUGAAUGGUGGAGUUGACCUCCUGAAGCCUGUUCUAGAAAUUUGGGGUUUGCAGGGAUGCUCCAGUGUAGAUAUCAGAACUGAAGAUGGGGACACAUACUUUUACUCUAAGUUGCUUGAUGUUUUCAGAAUUUAUCAUGUAAGAUACUCAUUUAUUGUUGCUUUUGGUGGAACAGUAAAGGAAUCCACUAUUCACAUAAUACGUACUUACCAAUGUCUCACAUUAGGAAACAUGUUCUGUUGUUUAAUAUUCACAAAAGUUAUCAAGUCCUUAAAAUGCCUUUGAAUGCUGCUAAACAAUCAAUACAAUCCCUAAUGUCCUGGCUGCAAGUAGUGUCUCUUAGGCAAAGAAGUUCUAUAUGGAAAAUCUUGGAUCUGCAUGAUCAUGAGAGAUAAGAUAAGCAUCUUCAUGACACAGCAAGAGCACAAAAUGAGGAUGAAAUUCCUUUAUAUGAUUGUUAAAUGAGUCUGUUGCUUGACCGGAGUUGAAAUACCUAGCUAAUGAAGUUCAGUUUUUAAAUGUUUGAAUAAAAGUUUCAAAUAGAUUUAGAUGAGUACAGAAAUUAAACAGCUUCCUCAACUUAAAAUUAAAAAGGCUGAACCUACAGCAUGAAUAUCCUGAGAGCAUCUGCCCUGCUUUGUUACAUUACUUACUCAAUGUAAAUGACAUCAUAACCAUUACAAUGUUUAUUGGACAAGUUAACUCUUAGGAAAAGGCUGACAAUGAAUUGCUGAAUAAACAGCCAUACGCCCUGAGUCAACUGCAUGCAUUAACAUCAGUUUAUGCAUAAUUUAGUGAUAAACAACUAAACUUAAUUGUGAAAUUAAUUAUGUAAUUGCUGGAAUGAUACUACCUUUUGUAGUGAGCUCAAAUUUAGGAAAAUAGAAUUUGAUGUAGCAUUAGCUCAUGCUAUGGCAUUAUAGGAGAACUCUGAAGUAAUUGUUUGAUACUUACUAGACAGAAGAGUAAGAUGGCAUUUCUGAGCAUCUACAGUCUUCGACUUCUGUUUGCGACAUUUAGAUGGUUGUUUGGGGCAGAAGGGAUCUAGGUCUACCACUCCAAGCUGUGGCUCAUUCACUAUGAUCCCUUGUUCUUGAGAAGCCGAGUGUGUUUGGACAGGAGAUUUUGUCCAAAUAUAUUUGUUUACAUCACCAUUACAAUUUCCAAUACAUCUUUUUUAUCUUCUCAAUUACCUUUUUAUCUCACAUGCAUCACAUCACAAAAAGUGCUACAAUAAAAAUAUCUCAAAUAAUUUACAAUCCAAACACACUGCAUGUCUCUUUAUGAUUGAAAGUCUUACUGGAAGAAAAGGGAUAAACCACCCUUCCAAUUCCCAUCGGCUCUCACUACCCCUCUCUGGAAAAAGUGAAAAGAAGUGAGUUUAGGUCUGUUCCUAAUUAUUGGUGCUGUCUUUCUCUUAUGCAGCGGACUCUGCCUACUGCUGUGGAAGGAUCAUUUGACUUCUUUAAAGUUCUCCCAAGCAAUCCUUUAGCACUACCUACAAUUUUGCAGCAGUCUAUGCUGUCACUGCUUGUAGAACAAGUUGUUGGGUCCAACAAGUCUCAGAUUUCCAUGAGAACCCAACCAUUGAUGUACAAGUAUCUUCAUUCAUUUAUCAAUUUGUUUAUGUAUUCACCAAUAAGAGACAUAAAAGAUCAGGCUUACUCUUUAGCACAAGCAGCCAUGUUGAGUACAGGUGCAUUUGACAGAAAUCCAAGGGAAAUUUCUGCUUGGUUUCUAUUUAUACCUGGCUAUACCAGUGUGGUUAUUGAUGGUCCAAAGCAUGGGAUUGAAGUAUUCCAAAAGUUGUCUUCAGUUGUCAUCUCUUUUCUUUGCGAUGCAGUUUCUACUACUGGGAACAACUUGUUCAAAUAUUUGGAUCUCUUAAGGUGCUAUAUCCGUGAUUUAGACGUUUCUACAGGUAAUUCACAUUAUAUUUGUUUUAUUUCCAGUUUGGAUGUAGUCUGGGUUAUUGCGAUAGUUACCUAAUAACACUGUUAUCUUUUGGAUCUGUUUCAUACUUUCUAUCUGAUCCAUCAAUUAAAAUUGAAGUUGGUUCAAUUUGAAGGAAAUAAGAGAAAAAAUCAAUGUUUCUUGCCUUGAAUUUCUCUGCAAGAUCAGUAGCCUGUACCUGUCUAACAUGGCAUUUCCAGCCUUGUCACAGUCAAGGAAAACUCCAAAAAGAUUUACUUUGCUAGUGUCAAGUGACAUACUUUUAUCCUAGUCCUAGGUAGUUAUUAAGAAUUACCUUUGGUUAGCACAAUAUUUUACUGAUUCAAUUUCCCAUUCUUGAAACUGGCCUGUGUUUGUCCUUUCCGCGCUUCUGACAUCUGGGAACCUUGUAAGAGUUUUUUCUUAUUAGUCUGGAAUUUAAUUUGAUCUGCAAUUGAUUUAUGAUAGACCCAGCAAUUUUGAAAGUUAUCCGGAUUCUGGGAGUUGUUGAUGCCCUAGUAUUCAAUUUAAAGGACAUAUCAAAGAUAUUUACAUUAUCCCUUUCUUUCCGAGGUCUGCUGUUAAAAUCACCUUCUGUGAACUGUUUUUUUUAAAUUGGUUUUGUCAAUAUUGAUGUCAGGUUUGGGUUUUGUUGGUGGAUUUACAUGGUGAAAGGUUUACUAGUGGUUCUAUAUGGAAAACACAGACCCUCUCUGUUUAUUUAAGGCUGCUGUUGACUGACUCAGGUGUAUGAUUCUCAUUGUUGCGUCAAAAGAUGAUGCAUUAAUCCCUAAUGAAACUAGAUUACUUUUAGUUACUUGUUUCCCCUGAAAUUGCAGCUAUUUUAGCUGUAAGUCUUGCCUAAACAAUAUAUCUGACACUAUAAUUACCAAUAUCUACUUAUUGCUAUUAUUUACUCAUAAUCAUAGUAACAAUGGAUAAUCUUCCUGCUUCAUUGUAGUCCUUUCAUUUCUAUCGAAAUAGGCUUUGCAUUUUCUUCUGGAGUUAAUAUGAUGCUUCUUGCAGAUACAUUUCCCAAUUUUAGCCCUUUCAUAGUUUGUGUACUGGAGAAGUGCUUGAGGUUACUUAGCUCUGAAACUGGUUCUUUUACAUUGCCCGAGAAGUCAAUGAUAUCAUUGUAUGUUUCUACCACAUUAAAGUAUCUCCUGGAAACUCAGGUAAGCAGUUCAUCUUUAAUUGUUUAUGGUACUCAGAUGUGAUUAUGUUGUUAUACACUGUUUAAAGCAGACAACUCAGGUUCUUCUAUACCUGGCUGUAAGUACUUGAUUGAUUUUUUUGCUAGGUUGAAGGUGGACUUUUGUGUUCCCUGACGCAGCUUUUGAUAUCAGAGAGACUUAAAGGUUGUUGCGAUAUGAUUGGAUUCUGCCCUUGUGAAUGGAUGCCGAUGAAUAGUUUGUUAUAUUUUGCAAGGAAUACCGUGCAGCAACAAAUUUAUAGCAGUUUUAUGUCUGAAGAGAAAGCUACUGGUCUUGGUGGUUCAUUUUCUGAGACACUUUCUGAAGUUAAUAGGAUUUUAAGGACUAAGGAUCAUUGUGGGUUGCUUGGAGUUACUAUGGGGUUUUCUUUUUCAAUGAUAUGCACCACAGCUGAUCAGAUAUUGCAGAAUUUCCCAUCGACCAUCUCUACUUCUACUAAAUUGCUUGGGGUUCCUUUCUCAAUUUUGUUGUUGAGAUUCUUUCUCGAACCAAGUCAUUUUGCUGAAGUUUUCAAGUUAUGGCCUAAAAUAUGCUUUGCUGGAGUUGACAAAGUUAUAAGUGGAGUUCAUGAUGGAGAAGGGCAGACAAUAGCUAAUGAGCUUGAUGAUUCACCAGAUUCUGCUUCUAUUGCAUUCUCUUUUUUAGUAAAGAAUGCUCCUUUUCAUGUGCUCUUUCCAGCUAUUUUUUUCACUGAUGGAUUGCAUUUGCUUGGUCACUCAAAAGUGCAGAAUUUGCUUCUGGAUAAAUUCACUGAGAGUACACCUGACUUCUCUGUCUCUUCUCUCUGCCGUCUUCUCUUUUGCUUGCUUCAAGCGCGAUUGGCCUAUAGAAUCAAACCAUCUGAUGAACUUGAAAAACUUUGUGAAUCAUCUUGUUUUCUUGCAAAGCACAUAGUAAAACAAUCAUUUGUUGAAAAAUUUGGUCCUGAUUGCUCCCCGCGUGUUUUGCCUCCUUUAUCAUCUGGUCAUAUUCGAGAAGUGGCUGAAAUAAUUCUUGGCCACCCUUUACUCACUGCAUUGCUGGAAUGGCCUUUGCAUACCGAUAAUGAUGUUGGUGACAUGAUUUUUAUGAAACCUCCAGAAACCUUUCUUCAGUAUGCUGAACGGGGUGUUCGUAAAAUAGAUCAUCAUAUUUUGCAGUUGUUAAGAAGAACCACAUCUGAGCUUUUGGUUCAUGUAUUUAGUAAAUGUAGAUCACCAUCUGUGGUUGAUCAUUCUACUGAACGGAUUGCAAAGGCUUUCAAGGCUCUGGUGCAGAAGCUAUUUUUGACAUUUAAGGCGAGGUUCACAGAUUCCAGAAAGACAGAUGAUUUGAUGCCUCUAAUUCCUACAUUGUAUGCUUUGCAUAGUCUGAGUGAAUUCAUAUGUCCCUUUGAGUUGCUCAAUUUGGUGCACUGGUUGUUCUCCAGAAUUGAUCUAAAUGAUACUGCAGUUUCCAUUUCUUGUCAAAGAUGUGGUUUGUCUGUUGGAUUACAAAUUGCUUCAUGGGCUUUUGAUUCUCUUUCUUUAUAUAUGUUAGAGCCACAUGCAAAGAGGACAUUAUUCAAUUUCUUUAUGGGUACUGGAAACAGAAGUUUUGAAAUUACCCUUUUUGAGAGAAUUUUUAACAGCAUAUUUGAGAUUGCCACUCACACUCAACUAGAAGUUGCUGAUAUAUGUUUAUUCAAAGCUGUUAAGAUCAUCAAAAUGCAUAAAUGUAUGGAGAAGACCAGCUUACCUUUUGUUAUGGCUACUUCAAGACUUCUACCCAGUGUUCCUGUGAACUUUAUUUCUUAUUGCUUGGACAAGACAACCAAGACUAAGUGUGACUUCUUGUUUCUUCUGUCUGAGAUGAGCUCCCUGCAUCUUUGUGUAUUUGGACAUUUGGUUUCUGGUAAAAUUAGUAAUAAUCAAGCUCUUAAGGUCAACAAGGAAGAAAACUGCAAUCGGCCUCAGUACUCUGAAGAGUUCUUGAUGCUUCUGCCAACUGUUCUGUUAUACUUGAGGUCAAAUUUUCUGAAAUUUGGGGGCCAAUUUGGCAAGCAUGUUGAAAACACUUCUUCUUUCUUUUGGAAGAUCCUUUUGCGUGGUUUCUCUAACUGGAAGAGUUUUGUUUCGGAAGAGAUAUUUGAGAUAAAACUUGUUGAGUGCUCAUCUUUAUGCAUGGAAGAUUUUUCUAACCUUUUCUCUUCCAGUCUUCUUGGAAAAGCAGUACUGCUGAUGCGUCAUUACCUUGCUGUGAGUGGACACUUGGUGAAAAUGAAAAGGCUAUUGAGUACAUUUGAUUCUGUUUGCCCACAUGCGAGUGCACAGAAUGAUCUUCUGGACUGCGAUGCUAGAGAAAUUGGUGUUUGUUCUCUUGAGUUGUCUUUGAACUUUGUGAACAAAAUUAUUGCAAAGAUAUGCCUCUGUUGGAUGUUGUUAUUUCCAGAGCAUAAUAAUCUUCAAUCUGUAGUGAAAGAUGGAAAGAAAAAAGGAAUUGAAUCAGAAGUUAGCAUUUUGAGAAUCCGAUUUUUAAGUAUGCUGGUCCAUUCAUGGCAACGUCUUGUGGAGAAUUUUCAUACAUGCAGGCAAGGAGAGAACAUAAGGUCGUCAUUGUUUAGAUUCUUGGAGAUCUUCAUUGCUAAGAAUAUAGUAGCAUUGGUAAGAGAAAUGCAUGAUUGCCUGGUUGAAUUGCAUUCGCUUCCUUUCUUAGACCAACUUGCCAAAUAUUCUCUUCUUCAUAGGUUUGAUGACCCUACCACAAUUAGGAUGCUUAGAAUUGUUCUUAUUUCACUAUCUGAGGGAAAGUUCUUGUGCAUUUCAAUUCUCCAGCUGUUACUUGCUCACUCUCAAUUUGCUCCAACCAUUCUAUUUGCCCAUUCAUCAACUGUUUGUACUCAAUUUGGUAUGAGUUUUGCUCCGGCACCCAGCAUUAUGAGGUUAUUUACUGUUCUUCAUACUGAAGAAAACACGGUUGAUGGAAAAAAGGAUGCUCAUGAAACUGGGCCUCACAUGAAGAAGUUGGAACUGAUUAAGUUGCUCAGAGUACUAAUACAUAUCUUGGGUCAGCAACAUUAUCUUGAUUCUGAAACAUCCAAUGGCUUAAAUUUGAAGGAAUUGGUUUUGGUGCUUUUGUCUUCUUAUGGAGCAACCAUGGAUGAGAUUGAUUUGGAAAUGUAUAGCCUCAUGAAUGAAAUUGAGGCUAUUGAUAAAUCAGUCUCUGAAGGUAUUGCUGAAAUGGAUUUUCUAUGGGGCUCUGCUUCUCUGAAGGUGAGACAAGAAAGGGAACAAAAGCAAAGUGUAUCUUCUUUGAGUAACUCAUAUGAUAAUGAAGUAGUUGGAGAGAGACGAAGGAUUCAAUUUAGAGAAAAUCUUCCCAUUGACACCAAAUUAUGUGCAAAGACAGUCCUUUGUUUUCCUCAUGAUAGAUUUGCUGAUGGGAGCUUGAGCAAGCUCCAAACAGAUGAUUCUGAUGAGGUAUAUUGUGAAUUAGACCACUGUAUACCUAGCAUAUUACUGUUUUGAUGGAUAGGUUAGAUGGAUAGGUUAGCCGUAUGUCUGUAUGAAUAUUAUAUUUGUCAUUUCUUUGGUCUUUUUUUCCCUCCUCUUUUUUUUAGUAUGUGGCCUUGGCAGGUUUGGGUGGGGGGGCUGCAGAGAUUAGUGGUGGGUCUUUUGUGAAUCUGAUUAUAAUUUCUGUGCAGGGCUACAAUGCAAAUUCUAAGAAGGUGCAACUUUAUGAUCCAGUUUUCAUCUUGCGUUUUUCAAUUCACAGUCUUGCAAUGGAGUAUAUUGAGCCCCUGGAGUUUGCUAGUUUGGGUUUGCUUGCAAUUACAUUUAUCAGUUUGUCUUCUCCUGAUGCUGAUACAAGGAAAUUGGGCUAUGAGGCUGUUGUGAGAUUUAAGAGUGCUGUGGAGGUAGAAGUAGUUUUGGUUUUGUUAUUGUUUUCGUCUGUAAUUGUUUGCAUAUUGGAAGGCCCAUAGAAUUAAGGCAUUCUAUUCAUGAGCCAAUUAUUGGUAUCAUUGUGUGUUUAUGUUGUUUUGAAUUUUGGUACGAGUCAUUAAACCAAGUAGAGGAAUACAUACAGUGACUAAGAAGCAAUCAUUUUCUUUGGCCUCCAGAAAUGCCUGAAAAGCUUGUGUUAGGUAUAGUAGUUUGAAUGAUAUUCUUUAUCCUUGGAAUAAUAUAAACUGUUGGAUACAGAAAUGUCGCAAGAGGAAGGAUGUGAUGCGACUCCGGCUCUUAGUAUCAUACUUGCAAAAUGGUAUACAAGAAGAGUGUCAGAGGAUUCCUUCCAUAACUGCUGUAUUCAUUGCGGAAGCUUCUUUUGUUCUGUUAGAUUCUUCCCAUGAUCAUUAUUCAGCUAUAAGUAAAUGCCUGAUGCAGUCAUCAGGUGCUAAUAUGAAGGUAUCACUUCUAUUGCAGAGCUUUUCCAUGUUAUUUUGUCUAUAUCUGUUAUAUUGCAUACCUUAGGACUAGAGUUGUACAAAUAAAUUGAGCAAUUCAAAUGCUUUUGAUUUGAUAUCUUUUCAACCUCUGUUGAGGGUUCCUCAUUUUUAUUUUCUUUGGGUGAAAGGGUGUACCAUUAUUCCAAGAAUUCUUCUGGAGUAGCUCUGUUACUUUUAAGUCGGAAAGGUUGUGGAUGCUUCAGCUUUUAAACACAUCUCUGACUAUGGAUGAUGAUGCUCAAAUACUUGUCAGAAAUUCCAUUUAUGAGAUCCUUUUAAAUUUUUAUGCCUCUCCUCUUUCCGAUGACGAGUCAAAGGAACUGAUCGUUGAGGUAAUCAAUGUUAAUCUUUUCUCAUAAGCUGCUUCUUUCUUUGUUUUUUUUUUUUGGGGGGGGUGUGUUUGGUGGUGGGAGGGUGUGGUUUGGAUAAGAUAGGGUUGCUCCUGAUAAAUGUUUACCUUCUUUUACUACCCAGCCUAUUCUCUCGUCAAAAGCUGAAAAUAAUUGAUAGGCCAUUGUCGAUUAGUUCUUAUGUGGUAAGUUCUGUGUGACCUUUAUAAUGCUUUAUCAUGUUUUACUAGUAUGAACAGUAAAUUGAUAAUAUCUCUGCCCCGUGAUGUCACUGCAUAUACUUCUAAUCGUUAAAGAUUAAAGAAAGUGGAAUUGGAAAAAACAUAUUAUCUUUCCCUUGCUCUAUAUUUCUUUCUUCUUAAGCAUCUGUUGCCAAGUAUUCCAUACCUCACAAGGCCAAUGAUUAUCCUGCCAAUGAUUAUCCUACAAUGAAAUUCCCUUCUCUGCUUCUUCAGAGAAAAGGAAGAAUAUAGUUCUCAAAUUUGCUUAUCUGUUUAUGGGAAAUAAAAUUAAGCUCGAGGAACACAGCUUUAAUGUCUUUAUCCUUUCUUUACUCUCCUUUUCCUCUUCCUCUCUUUUUGCUCAGCAGCAGCCCUUAAAUUUGCACUGCAUUAGCAUCUUAUAUACUUAUAUAAUUAGACCACAAGAAGAUGAAGUUUGAUUUGAUUCUGUCGACAUUCAUCUGUCUUUAACAUUGCUUAUAGAAGAUGACCAUCACGAAAACUAGUCAGUGUGCCUUAGCUGCUAGUUAUAUUAUAACUCUGGGCAUUUUGAUCUAGGAGAAAUUUUCAUGGCCUUCAGUAGGCUACUUAUCACUGAGUUGAUACUUUCUCUUUAGAGAACUAUCAAUUUAGCUAAAUUUUAUUUUUUUAUUCUGCAGAUGGUGAAAAAGUCCGUCAAAAUAAAUAAGCUUGCAUGGCAUUUGGUUGUACGCUGUGGCAUAAUUUCUUGGCUGUCUUCUCAUGUUGCAUCUUUUUACGGGAUUCUACUCAGGGACCAGAGAAGUUUUUCAUUUGCUAAGUUAGCUAUGGUUCUGGAGGUAUAAUCAUUUUUUCUUAUACUUUCUUCUUUACAAACUAUUUUGCUAAGUAUACUCCAAAAGAUGAAUAAGUCUUGGAAAACUUUGGCAUCAUGUCUUUUAUUGUUUUCUCUGGGAUGGGAACCUAAUUUGUUCUCUUUCUUUUUGGGUUAAUGGUGGUGUGUAGCUUGCUUCGGACAUCAUUGUCUUCUGUUUUCUUCCAAACUCUAGGCUUUUAACAGAAGCUGGCUCCUAGCUCCUUCCAGCAUUUUAUGAGUUCCUUUCCUAUCAUAAAAGAAAUGACCUUAAUCAUUUAUAACUAUGAACACGGUUUUAGAAAGCAUGUUCUGUUAAAAUAUAUGUUUUUGCUUUUGAAAAUCAAAUAUCAACCUCCAGAGAUGGGAUCCGCAUUAGAAUUUCACAUUGUGGAAUAAGAUGAUUACAAAUGGGCUUGUAUAUGUUAUUUGAAUUUCUUUUAAUCUCUCUUUAUAAUUGAAGUCAUGGCUUUCAAUGCAAAUCAUUUUCCCUCUUAUGUAGGGGUGUGUCUUUUUUUCAGGUAGCCAAUGAUGUUAUUAUGUCUAGAAAUACUAGUGAGUGGUUGCAAAAAUAUGCCCUAGAGCAGCUUUCUGAACUUGCAGCUCAUCUGUACAGAAUCUUAGUUGGUUGUUCUAAACAUAUACAAGAGAAAACCAGAAUCAUUGAUUUGAUUCUAGAACUAUUGAUGUCAACCCUGAAGAUCUCACAGAAAAGAAAAGUAUAUCAGCCGCAUUUUACAAUAUCUUUUGAAGGUUUAUACCAUUUGUACGAAGCUGUUGAUGUCUGUUGCAGUGGGACCUUCAGUUCUACUGCUGAGAUUGGACUGAAAGCUGUCCUUAUGAGUACUCCUCCAGUUUCUAUACUUCACAUGGUAUAUCUCUCUCUCUCUCUCUAUGUGUGUGUGUGUGCGCGCGUGUGGGCACGCAUGCAUGUGCAUGUGCAUGUGCAUGUUUGCAAUAAUUUUGCAUGGCAAUUAUUCUGUUAAACUCGAUGGUCCUCAUGAAAGUUAUCAAGAAAACCUAUAAGCAUCAUCUUAUAAGAUUGUUAUGUUCUUCACCUCUUCAAACAUUGUUCAUAUAUAUAUAUUUGUGCAGAAUGGACAUCGUGAACUUUGAUAUAAUACACUUUAGAAACCCUUAACUUUUACUUUGUGAACCAAUAGUUUGGUUUCUAUCAAUUUUUUUUAAUGAAAGAUCUUUAAUUUUGCAAUAAGUAUGUCAAUCUCCAGCUAUUAUAGUUAAAAGCUUGUUGAACUGACUGCUUCUACAUUCUAAUGCAUGGUAAUUUUGUAUGACAAAUUGACAUGUCUAACUUGGUAGCAAAUUUUGCUUUCGGAUAAGCAGCUAUUGAUGCACUAUGGUGUAUCUGAGCCACAAAACAAAUGAUCAAUGCAGCCAUCCACUUGUAAACUGACCACAGCUAAAAGCAUUUUGGAAACAGAGAAUACAUUUCUGUCUAAUACCUUUCACAUAUCCUCUUUCUCAAAUUACCAAAUCCUGUUGACCCGCUGUGCAAUUUCGAAUUGGUGAAUUGCCAAUGUCAAAAUUUACUGUUGAAAGCAUAUAAUUUUGGAUUGUUAAGAGCGUCUGUUUGUUGCUGAGCCUACCUGAGAUGUGUGAGUUCUUUGCCUAAACGAUUGUUGGCUACUUUCUUCUGUUAUUAUUUUUCAACAGUUUGCUGGAGCACUUAAAUUUGGGUAACUGCUUUUAGUAUCUGUUAAAUGUCUUUUUUAAAUGGUUUUCCUACUCUUAUAGCCAGAUGGAAUAGCUGGUAUAAAUCGCACAAGUAGUGGCUUAAACUAAGAUUUUUUUUUUUGGGCACAGUGAAACAGUCCAUUGUAUAUCUUGGGCAAUUUAAGAAUUCCUCCCACAUUUCCAAGAAAUUGUUGGAUUUUGAAUCAGACUUUUGUUCUGCUGUUGAAGCCUUCUGAAGUUGAAUUUCUUGAAAAUGAAUCCUAAAGUGUGAAGCUAUUGCAGGUCCCCUUAGAAUUUUGAGAAUGAUGUCAUGCAAUUGUAUUGCGCUAGAGUAAUUGCAUAUCCUUUGCUAUUGUGGUAGAUAAAUUUGAAUAUCAACAUCUGUUGUCAAAUCAUGCAUAUGUACGGAAGUGUCAAUGUUUUUGACUGUGACAUGAUCUCUAAGUGGCUGAUUAUAUCUAGAUUGUCUGAUGUGAAAAAUUGUUUGGGCCCCUUAAAAUUUUGAGAAUGAUGUGAUGCAAUUGUAUUGUAGUAGACAAAUUGCAUAUCCUUUGCUAUUGUGGUGGUUGAAUUUGAACACCAGCUUCUUUUGUCAAACCAUGCACAUGUACAGAAAUGUCAAUGUUUUUUGACUAUGACAUGGUCUGUAAGUGGCUGAGAUUGUGUAAAAAUUCUGAUGUAAAAAGUUGAUUGAGUUCAUUGUACAGAAUUGGAAUUUCCCAUGUAUGGAUUUUCCACAUGCACAUGUAUGCAUUGAUUUACUAGGUCAAUUAUUUCAAGUCCUUAUAGUAUAUCAUGAGACUGUGAUUGGCAUUACUAGCUAGCUGGUGAUGAUUGAGAAAGAUGAGCAAUGGCACUUCACAAGUGCUUUACCUCAUGAAACUCUAUAUGUAGUGAACAAGACAUAAGAGUUCAACCAUCAACUUCUCAUAUUUGUGAUUAGACCCUGCUUAUCUUUUUCUAUUCCUUAAGAUGACCUAUUACUUCGAUGUGCUUGUAGGAUAAAAAUAAGCUUUUGAAGUUUGUUAGCUGGGCAAUAUCAACUGCUGUGCAGUCAAACUUGAUGGAGGUGCCUGAAUCUGAAGCAAUGUAUAGCAAUGCCUUGAGAUUUUCAGAACAAUCUGAAGAGGAUCUUGUAUCAAAGCUUUUAAGAUGGCUGACUGCCUCAGUGAUUCUUGGAAGGCUUUCAUGGAAAUUGAGUGAUUUGAAUUCCACUAGUUCUUCUGAAAUAUUAAAGCUUGAUAAUCUGCAUUGUAUCAUGGACUAUUGUGUGAAGGAAUGUGGAGAAAACCAGGAGAAUUUUGGCAGCAAAGAGAUACUAGCUGUAUCAAUUUUUACCUACAGCAGCUUGCAGGCAUAAAGUGGAAUUUUCUUCCAUCAGUUGUUGCUGCACUUUCUCUCCUGUUAUUUUCUGGUCCCUCCUCAUCAGGUUUAGUCUAUUCUUGCAUGAAUUAGUAUUAGACAGUUUUGCGUCUAUAAAUUUCUAUCUUAUAACGUUGGUUGUUUUUCCCAUUGACAUGACAUCUGCUUGUAUAUAUAAUUAAAAGUUUAGAGGAACAAAACCUUGCUUCUUGCCUGCUAGUGUCUUUAAGGAGGAAUGUUAAUGUAUUGAUUUCCAGUGCUUUUGCUUGAACCUGCGGUCUCAGGAAUUGUUUUCCUUUCCAUGCUUUAGUUCCAUGUAAAGUGGGCAUUUUGCUGACAUGAAAUGGGAUUUUUAUUUAUGUGGGAAAACAAGUCCUGGGAUUAAACUUUCCUGCUUUUGGUGGUACCGGGGUUCUGACUCUUACUACCUCUCAUGUGACCUGGUUCAGUCAAAAAGAAAAAUUUUUUUUGGAAAGUUGCUGCUGACGCUUAAUACCUUUCUUGUGACCUGGUUCAGUCGAUUAAAUAAAUAUUCAGCUUAGUGCAAUUACAAUGCUGGAAGUUCCUAACAUGUGUAAAGUCCAAUUUGGAUGCUAUAUCCUGAAGCUCUUUCAUCAAGUUCUUUAACUUAGAAAUUUGCUUGCGAAUGAACUGUGAUUUGAGGUCCUACAUUUAGGGAUUUGCAGCCCAAUUUACUGUGAAGGCUCUCAAAAUUACCCAAUUUUAAGUGGUCGUUUUUCUAGCCUGGCACUACAAGUUGAUAAUAGUUCUAAGUCUUUGCUUUUUGUCGUGUUGUUUGUCAGAUUCAGACUCUCGACAUAGCGAUGGUAGUCCUUGGGUAUCACUCUGCCAGAAGAUACACAGCCCAGCUGAAGCUAAUCCUUCGUGGAGAUGGUAACAUUGUUUUAUUCUCUUACAUUUCCUCUCACUUUUGCCCAAUUCUGCAACCUACAGAAUAGCAGAUAUUCAUUUGGUUGUGCUGCUUUUUCCAUCAUCAAUCUGCUUGUACAGGUCAUACUACCAGCCUUGGAGAGAUCUUUCCUUGAAGCGUGCUGCAGUAGAGAAAUUGGAAGAAAUUCAUGCGUGCCAAAAGCUCCUGGUGUUGAUUUUGAAGAAACUUGGAAAUAAUUCUCUAUGUUCGCAAUUUCUUUCACUGCAAGAUGUGGAAAAUUUUGAUGUAUUCAAAUGGGAAAGAAGUAUCAUUGAGCCUCACUGACGUCUCUGCUCAUAAUUUACAGGUCCAUUGUUAUUCGGUUCAAAUGUUUUGCAUGCGCAUGCAUUUAGUUGGAGUAGAGAGUGUAGCACAACAGCAGGUGGUCCUGUUGUUAAUCCGUGCUUCUCUGUAACGUUAGUUAGAUUAGCUUGUGUAGGGGAGUAACAGGCACUCAUUAUUAUUCCCUGUUUUUAUAGUUGGCUAAUUUAUUAACAAGGCUUAAACAUGCAUACGCAGGCCUUGCUUGGUUUUUGAGAAAAAAAGAUGAUUAAGGUUUUUCUCUUUUUGAGGGAAAAAGAAACUUUUUACCCGUUCAUAUCACAAAAAGCAGCAUUUACAUUAAUGCAACCAGUGCUUAACGCAGCAUUUGCCCACUGCAAACCAGUACUUGUUGCAGCCAGUUCUGCCAACGCAAUAGACAUGAUCUUGCCAAUCCCUUCAGCCAUUGCAACCAUGAUUUCUCCUUCGUCAUUUCUGACCAGAAUACCGGUUCCUGGUUCUUCUUCUGUCCAAGCUGCAUCUCCAGUGAUUCUGUUUCAGGAGGUUGCCAUUUUUUGACCAAUUCCUGUCCAGCCAUACUUUGAUUAAGGUUUGGAAAGCAUGAUGCAUGGGUUAGAAGUUCAAGGAAGUACCAUUAGGAAUACUUUCAAGACUCGAAAUCAGAAAAACGAGAUUCAUAACCGAAAAGUAGUACGUCGCUAACUCGGCCCAAGUUCAUUUUUUUAAAAAAAUUCAAUAACAAUAAAUCUAAAAUUUAAUUGUAUUUGUUCAACUAGGUGGUCUAGUGACCACAUGAAGACUGAUCUCCUAGUCAAAUUCAGAGUUUAAAUACCAAGUCUGGCAAUGGGAAUGGGGGAUGAAAAGAGUGCGGAGAAAAAACUGUUCCACCUUUUUCUUUUUCUUUUUUUCCUUUAAUUGUAGAGUUCUGUUAGUACUUUUUUACUCGCUUUAUUUUUAUAUAUAUAUAUAUUUUUUGUCAAAAUGGCAACUGAAAUUUAUCAAGACAAUAUAAACAUCUACACUUGUAAUGAGCAAAUAUCCAAAAUUUCUAUUUUUUUUUAGGUAUAAUUCAUAGGUGUCCGCAUCCGUUUUACGGUUUGCGAUUAAUCUUGUUCGAGUCGGAUCAGACCCCUUGUAGAAGGAAGUUCUCCAAACGUUAUUUUUUCUAUUCCCAUGAAUUUCGAACCCAAAACCUCAUGAUUAACGGAUGCAACCCCCUUUCACUUGCACCAACAUCCGUUGGUAUCCAAAGUUUCUAUGCCAUACAGCCUGUGAGACUAGUCUCACACUGGGAUUGACUCCAUCCAUUCCAAAUCCGUAAAAUUGUCCAAUGCAUAUUUUGCAACUUUUUAUAGUCUCUUAUAAUUGUAAUUGUAGAGAUUUUCACGUCGGAGUUUGAAAAUUCCACUUCUAUUAUACUACCAUUUUUACCACUAAUUUUUUUUUUAAACAAGAAGAAAUAGAAAAAUACAGGUCAUUCUGUGGGAACGGACUAAAGCUGUAAGACGCCGGCUUGGCAGUUGCCACGACUACGAGCCCCACCCCACCACUUGGAACUUGGAAGUCGGUUGGGUUGGAACUCGCAAUCCUGGGGCUCAAAUCCUUUCAAUUCUGCAGUUAAUACAAUUUCCCCAAUUCCCACCAAAUCCCUAAUUCCCUCACUGUCUCUACCAAUUCCAUUCCGCCGCCACCACCAUGCUUUUAUCGCCCGGCCACUCCCCUCGCCACCUCCCUUCCCCAUCACCGGCACCGGAAACCCCCAGUUCCGUUAGUGAUAAUAGCACUGCCACAACUACUACAGCUCCUACUUCUGCUCCUUCAAUCAGGCAGCCAAAGCGACCGAAAGUCCUCGAUGAAGAUUCCUACGUCGCCGCCAUUGAGAAAAUCAUCGAACGCGAUUUUUUCCCCGAUAUCCCCAAGCUCCGGGACCGUCUCGAUUGGCUCGAAGCCGUCCGCUCUGGCGACCCGGUUCUAAUCCGAGAUGCCCAGUUGAAAAUCCUCGAACGCCGCCGCGGCAGCGCCGGGGAAUCCUCGAUUGAUCCAGGUACUAGUACUAAAUCACGGACGCACACCCUAACCCCUGGUUCCACUUUUUUCAGAAAUUCUAGUUUUACCCCUUUUGGUUUUGAUGAAAAUAGUGCUGGAAAGUUCAACGAGCAUAGAACCACCCCUGGUCCCGGGGUAGGGAGCGAUAGGACCACGAUUGGCGAACGUUUGGGUGAUGGGAGUGAUGGGGAGGGCGAGGUGGAUACUUCGUUGACGUUAGAUGAGUUCUUCAGGAGGUAUACGAGUGAGGAUAACGAGAGUUUUUCCAAGAUUAUGGAGAAAGUAAAUAGGAAGAGGAAGGAGAGGUUUGGGUUCUUGUUGGAAGGCGAAAAGGAAGGGGAUGUGAAGUUGAUUGAGGGUGCGAAGAGGGAGCGCGUUGCAACGGAUGGGUUUGGAACGUCUGAUCAGCCUGUGGCUACGUUGGAAGGGUGGAAGUACACUGCCAAGAAUUUGUUGAUGUAUCAUCCAGCGGAUAGGGGUGAAGCCCCCUUGACGGAGGAGGAGAUGGCUGAGAGGCUCAAGGGAUUGACCAAGGAGAUUAACAGGACUAACACGAGGUUCCGGGGUAAAGUGGUCAAUUACAAGAAAGAAGAUGAUGCGGUUGAGGUGCUUUAUACCCCGGUUGCUGGGGCCACGCCAUUUCCUCUGUCUGUUAGGGAUGGCGAUAAGGUGAAGAAGUAUGAUUUGGAAGAUUUGAGGAAGACGCCCAAUCCAUUUUAUGUUGAGUCGGGGAAGAAGGCAGAGAAUGGUUACAGUUUCGUUAGGACUCCAUCGCCUGCUCCGGGUGUGGAUGAGUCGCCAUUUAUAACAUGGGGUGAAAUUGAAGGUACGCCAUUGAGGUUGGAGUCAGAGGAUACGCCUAUUGAUAUUGGCGGUAGCGGAGAUGGGCCACAGUUUAAGAUCCCAAUGGCACCUUCAAGGGAUGUUAAGGCUCACUCUUUGUCUAGGGAGGCUGCCCGUAAGUUGAGGGAGAGGUCAAAAAUGUUUCAGAAACCACCGUUGCCCUCACCAGUUAGAGGGGGAAGUGCUAGUCCCAGUGCACGAACUCUCUCUCCUGCUGCUCAAAAAUUUGUGCGAAACGCAAUUGCAAAAUCUUCUCAUGCUGUUGAUGAAUCCCUCCGAGCAAGUUAUCGGGGUUCAAGUCCAGGCAUGGGCACUCCUAAAAGUGGGAGGAGUAUGUCAAGGUUUGGCAGGGAUAGCACAGGGUCCAGGUCACCUUCAGCAAGAGAGGGCUUUAAUCCUCCUCUGUAAUUGUUUGCAGGUGGCUUUUCCAUUGUAUUACCAAUGGUAUUUUCCUGUACAAUAGCCGGGGAAUGUAUCAGUUUGAUGAAAAAGUGAGAGUUGCUAUUAUCUGUUUUGGCAGAAUUUAUUACACUGCUUCGAGGAUCAUCUUAUUGUUUCAUUUUCUAUUUUCCAUACUCCAUUUUAUUUUUUGUCCAUUUUUUGAAAUGUCCGUGUGUCCUUACCAUUUUGUUUCACUUAACUAAGAAGAUUCACCCCACGAGGCAAGUGAGGUAUAUGUGUAACUUGUAAAAUAGCAACAAGUUCUUGUUAUGGGUCCUGUGAAGUUGCUGCAGAAGGUUUUGUUUCCUCCAUUUCGUUUGGACGCACCACUUUAAAAAGAUUCACCACACGGGGAAUUUAGGUUUGCUCCAUUUCUCUUACAAGGAAAUGGUUGUUCUUUCUCAGAAAGAGCAGAGCUAAAUCUUAAUACUAUAUGUCUUUGGAGAACUUAAAGCUCACUGACUUCAGUGACUUGGAGGGAAAUAGAAGUGUAGUGAUGUUAGAAAAAAAAAAAAAAAACUCUUGAAAAGAGUAGAUGGUAUCCAGCCCCCUAAGCGACAUUUAUGUCGUCUGGUCCUGGGUAGGAGAAACUCUAGCAGCGGCUGCAGUAUUGUAGGAGUAGGGCCUUUUUUUCCCCCCUUUAAAUCCUUGCCAAUUCUUUGCAUAAGAAACCUGCCUGUGCAUAUUUUUCUGGAAUAAAUCUGCCAAUACCCUGUUAAAGGGUCUAAGCUAAAUCCACAUUGUUAGACCUGGCCAAUGCCUGGUUUGUAGGAAUAUUUGAUUGGUAGGAUUUGGAGAACUCCACUAUAAUAAAGUGAAAGUUUCAUGGUGAAAUACGGGACAGAGUUGCUUUUUCGAACUUCCAAAUGGUUUAAAAUUGUGCUUGGAUUGCAUUUUCUAGGAUUUUUUGUAGAAAAAUUACUAUAGCGAUUUGAUGUAUGUGAGGAAAAAAUGUAAUAGAGAAAUGUGAUUACGGAAAUGACGCAAUUUUUCGGCAGAAAAUGGCUGUCCAAACAAGGCCUUUGGCGAUUCCUCUAGUAUGGAUGCAACACUCUAUAUAUGGAUAUGAUUGAAAGAUGAAUUAAAUUAUUCUAUAUUCAAAAUGAAGCUCAAUUUGAUAAGAUUAUCAUUAGACACUAUAUAUUAACAGGAUUAAAAAAUAAAUUAAAUUAUUCGAUAUCGAAUUGGACUCAGUUUGAUAAGAGUUUGUUUGAUCUUGAUUUGCUUGGUUCUUGAUUCGAUAACUAAUCAACCCAAAAUUGGACCUAAGGAGAUGAAUGAAAAUCCAAAAAUGUCCCCAAGGGAAUAAAAUAGCAAUUUCAAGUUCUCAAAGUUUACAUAUAUGCCUGCAAAAACCCCUCAAAGUAACUACAAAACCUCUAAUCCCACGAAAAACCGCACAGCACAGAGCUCGCAGUGUGACUCUUCCAUUUUCUCUGAACUCGAAAAAGUAAAUAGUAAUAAGAAAGAAAUGGCAGCGGCAGCACCGCCACCACCUCCCUCCCCUGCUGCCAUUCCCGAGACCAUCGUUCCAGAAACCGCCCCGCCCCGCCACCCACUCUUUGCCCGCAUCCGGUUAGGCACCAUUUUCGAUGUCCCCCAACUCCAUAAGCUCAUCCACCAAAUGGCCACCUACGAGCGCCUGACCGAUCAAUUCUCCGCCACCGAAGCCUCUCUCGCGUUCACUCUCUUCCCUUCCCCAAGCCCACCUCCACCCUUCACUUCCUUCACCGUUUUCAUCCUUGAAGUCUCCCCUGACCCCUUUCCACCCACUCCUCAGGACCCCUCUAAUUUUUCCCCUAUUCUCAAAACUUUCCAUCUGGACCUCCCCAUUGAGGACUCAGAGAAGGACAUUUUCCGAUCCGAAAUCGGAGGCGACGUCGUUGUGGCGGGGUUUGUGCUGUUUUUCCCCAACUAUUCGACGUUUCUGGCGAAACCCGGGUUCUAUAUUGAGGAUUUGUUCGUGAGGGAGCCAUAUCGGAAGAAAGGGUUCGGACGAAUGCUAUUUACGGCUGUGGCGGCGCAGGCGGCUAAGAUGGGAUACGGGAGGGUGGAGUGGGUGGUGCUGGAUUGGAAUGUGAAUGCUAUUCAGUUUUACGAGCAAAUGGGUGCAAAAAUCCAGCCGGACUGGAGGGUUUGUAGGUUGACCGGAAAUGCCCUCGAGGCUUUUGCUCAUCUUAACAUCUAAUCUUUUGAUAAAUUAUCCCAUGUUUCCAAUCCAUCUUUUGGAAUUUUAUUAGUUUUCUCCUUUUGUUUUGCGCUGUUUGUUUCUCCCGUUUCGGGUUUGUACGAGUAUGAUCAAUGAUGAUGACGACUUUUAUGUUUCUGAUAUCUGAAAAAAAGGUUUAAUUAAAAUGCAAUUCCCCUUUUUCAAUCUCGGAAGUUUUUCCAAUGGUUUUUUAUGUGCAUUACUGCCCAUGUCUGGUAAAACAAAAAAAUAUACCUAUACGAUACAUACUAGUUAGUCAGCAAGCAAGCAUUUUGUAUGAAGAAAGGUGCAGCUGGAUUAAAAGAUGGGGGAAGCCCUGCCAGGAUAAAACAUCAAUUUCCAUGGAAUAAAGAAGAUGGAUGGGUGUGCUGUGUACUGUGUAGGAAGGAAUUAAUAACAAUCUUUAUAGUAGUAUGCGAUAAUUGGGAGAUGGAACUAGAAGAGUCGGGAGAUGUCUGAUCUGUCUUUAGAAAGACGAGAAAGCUUUGUACGAGGAUUCUUUUAAUUUUUCUGAUGUGAUUUGCUGUCUCCUCUCUAAUAUAGUAAUAUUAUUAUUAUUGCCGUCGGCGUUAAGAUUCUUGAAUUUCAUAGUGCUGAUUGACAAUUGUACCAAGCGCAAGCAGCGUUGCAGCUAGGGGUGGCAAUUUUCGACACGAUUCGAAAAUACGACACGAAUCUAACACGAAAUUAAUGGAUUUGGGUUGAGAUUUUGCGAGUUCGGGUCAAAAUUUGGUCGAACCCGAUGGACCCGAAAAAAAACGGAUCAAAUUUUGGGUCAACCCGUUGGUGACCUGAUAUGACCCGAUAACCCGUUUACGAAUUAAAAAUAAUUUAAUUAACAGAAAAAUUAUUUUUUCUAACUAAACUAAGUUAUUCUUUUUUUCCAAAGGCAUUAAUCACUUAAUCUUAAAUGAAUUUAUUUAACUUGUGUGAAGUUGAAAUUAUUAUAUUUGGAUAAAUAAUGUAUUAUAUUAUUUUUUACUUUUAUACUGUUUUAAUUUAUUUUAUAUUUGAUUUGGGAUAAAAUACUUUUAUGGUGUUUUAAUUUAUUUUAGAUUUGGUUUGGGAUUAUUUAAUUAAAUUUUUAUUACUUGAUUAUGUAAUUAGUCUUGCACAAAAUUGAUUAUAUUAGAAAUUACAAUGGUAAAUUAAUAAAUUAAAAUUAAGUUUCGGGUCAUUUCGGGUUGACCCGCCAACCCGAAAUUUUCGGGUUCGGAUCAACAGAUUUUCUGUUAUAUCCGACUCUCAACUCGACCCGCCAAUCCGUUUUGCCACCCCUAAUAAUUUGCAGCACCCCAAAAGCUCUCAGUUGCUGCAUUUCUCUCUCCUUUAAGGCUUUAACCUCAAAAGCUUGUAAAUAGUGCUCCUCUCUUUUAUCGAUGUGAGCUCUCUUUUGUUCGUCUCCGAAACAUGAUGAUUAGUGUUGGCAAUCCAGAAAUACCAUUAAUUAAGCAAUGGAUGAUUAAAUAGGAAGGAACAAAAACAUCAAGGCAAUUCGAUAGCGUCUUUGAAGAGAUUACAUAAAUAGCGGUUUAUGGCCAAGCUUCUCUAGAAUUACCAAAAAGAAGCCUUUGUUUUUUUGACUCUUCUUCCUACUAAUAAUAAUUAUGGUUAGGGGUGAUCAGAAGAAAGAUCUCCCCCCCUCAGGCUGCUGAGAUGGCCUAAUUUGAUCUUGUACAAGGCAAAUUGGCUUCUUCUUCUUCACUGUAACAGGAUAUCAAAAUCCUCGAUGAAAGUAACUAACGACAUACAUUAUUGUUUCAUAGGAGACGACGGAGCUUCAUGCUGCCAAUGCCAUCCCAUAUGACUCCUGGUUAGAAACAAAAUGAAAUGGACUCAUUUGGCAGACCCCUCGACGUCAAGGUCCUCUCCAGUCAACCUACAAAUCCUCUUGUCCUGAUAAACUUUUGUGCCGAUUCGCUCGUAAAAUUGAAUAGCAUUCACAUUCCAAUCCAGCACCACCCAUUCAACCAUCCCGUAACCCAUCUUCACCGCCUGCCCCGCCACCGCCGUUAUCAGCAUUUUCCCGAAUCCAUGCUUCCUAUAAGGCUCCCUCACGAACAAAUCCUCUAUGCGAAACCCGGGUUUCGCCAGAUACGUCGAGUACUUUGGGAAGAACAGCACGAAUCCUGCCACGACGACGUCGCCUCCGAUUUCGGACCGGAAAAUUUCCUUCUCCGAGUCUUCACUCGCGAGGUCCAGAUGCAAAGUUUUGAGCAACGGGGAAGAGUUAGUCGUGUCCUCCUGAGGAGCAGGUGGUGGGAAGGGGUCAGGGGAGACUUCGAGGAUGAAAACGUUGAAGGAAGUGAAGGGCAGAGGUGGGUUCGGGGAAGGGAAGAGAGUGGCGGCGAGAGAGGCUUCGGUGGCGGUGCACUGGUGGGCGAGGCGUUCGAAGGUUGCGAGCUGGUGGAUGAGCUUAUGGAUGUGGGGGACGUCUAAAAUGGUGGCUAAACGGAUGCGGGCAUACAAUGGGUGCCGGAAUGGGGCGGUUUCAGGGACCGUAUUUUCGGGUAUUGUGGCCAGGAAUGGCGGCGGUGGCGGCUGCGGAGCUGCUGCUGCCAUGCUUUUUUUUUUUGGCUUUUUGUUUGUUUGGAAGUGGUGGUAAAAUAAAUCAGAUUAAAGAAGCGUGGUUGGGAAGUUGCCCUUUAGACUUUAAACAAUUACCUAAUAAUCCCCUUCCAAAGUUUUUGCAUGAUUGGAUUGGAGUAUUUUAUACAAUAAUGGUAAUAAUACAACCAAAUCAACUUGCUUCCAAUUUCAAGCUCGGAAUGAAGAAAACAAGUAGGACUAAUCUGUUGCAUUCAAACUUCGUUGCAGCAGCCAGAGUGACCUUCGGGACAAUUUCGAAGAGAUAUGAUUCAAGUUUUGAGAGCAGCCACAUCUGAACUUUACUACUACGUACUUCAUUAGCAUUUGGCAGCAGCAUUGAAUGGACUGUUUUGACAGGUGAGUAUGAAGUUUUGGAACGUUGAACCCUUUUAAAUCAAACCAAGAUGUAUUUUGUUUUAAGCAAAGUAAAUUAAAUCACCUCAAAGUCAUAUUCUAUUAUUGUUGUCUCGUCUAUAUUCAGUAGUUCUUGGAAAGAAUUGCCACACACUAACUAACAGCGACGCAUGUCAAAGUCGUCAUUGUCUGGUCUAUAUUUAGUCGUUUAACACGCAGUGGGUUAGCACAUAAUCAAUCCAGUGUUUAGGCCUUUGAGCUUGGAAGAUUAAAAAGUAAUCCCAACCUUUACUAAUAAUCCCCACAAAGUGGAGACAACGACUGGAUUUCUUGUGCUACAUCAUUAGUUUCAGAAUUUCAAAACUCAAUAAUGGUUUGGUUACUUUCCUCAAAAUCUAAGCAAAAGUUCAAAAAACAAAGAAAGAAAUUGAUGGUUGCAUUUUGUGGAUCAGGAAUUGGUUCUUCGUAGUGGUUUGGUUAAAAUGUGCAGAAAAAUGUUGGUCUGUUGCGUAAGACUUGCGGACGAGAAUAGAGACGUCAAAGUUGCAGAUUUGUUGACGUUUAGUAGUUGCAUUUCGUUGAAAAGAAGGAGGGAAAGGGAAUAUUCCUGCUUUGGUCCGAUGCCAAAAAGCAAAUUGGCUUCUUCAUCUUCUUUGCUUCUUUAUUCUUUUUGUUAACUAAAAUGUUCGCUGAUUCUUGAAGAAGCCAGUAACUCUGGAAUCCAUAUUCCAUAGUUUUUUUUUUUUUUUCCUGGUCUUAGUGUCUGAUGUCGCCUAUCACAUUUUGCAGAGAAGUUGCGUUUAAUAUCUAAUCCUUACUGGCGUUGUACAGUGAAGUGGUUUUGGAGUUUAAAGAGUUUCUGUAGAAGUUAAAAACAGUAAUUUGGUAUCCGCUAAUAUUCUUUCGAGGCAUAUAGAAUAGACCCAACUUUGAAACUUACAUGCCACUAUUUUCAUUUCUUAUAUUUCAUUUUCCUUAAUUUGUGCAAGGAAAAAGAAAAAAAAAAUAAAAGAGGAAAAUAGUGUAAGGGUUUGGUAGCUUAGGUUUCUUAUUUUCUUCAAACAUUUUAUAUUCAAAGUAUAAAAAAAAAAAACAUAAUUCAAUUAAUCAAUAUUCUACGCUCAUUACUCCUAUUAUUAGAUUAUGCUCGUGUGUUUGUAUAUAUUAUUUAUUUAAAUUAAUUAAUUUAAAUGGGAGACAGCGCGAGGUAGGACGAGAGCAUCCAUCCUGUCUUGCCCCAUUUAAAGUGGAAAAGAAAAGUUUUUCAUCCUCUCCGUGGGAUAGGUACCCAUCUCCAUUGUCAUUUCUAAGAUUUUUAUAACUCUCCAUGGGAUUGGUACCCAUCUCCAUCGUCAUCCUAAGAUUAAUCAAGAAAUCGGAUUUAAUUGGUUUUUUGAAUAACACCAGCCUAACAUGUAAGAGACUAGAGAGUUUAAAGAAGCUGCGAACAUGAUUGGGAUUCUUCUUCCUCAGACAUAUAAGCACAACUUUGGACAUUAUGCAGUAUCCAUGCAGCAAUUUAUCGUUCUACACUCAAUUAUAUAAUUUUCUGUCGGCCAGCAAGGACAAGCCUUCCUCUCAUGGUUCAUCUGUUUUUCCAAUCAAUUCUCGCUCCCAAAUCGGGAGAUCACACGUGGCUAUAGUGUUUAUAAGCUGCUAAGAUCAAAUCCUGAGACACUAGCGGUUGCUCGGAACACCUCCUACGAGGUACAAAGUUGGUGUUAAAAAUAUGCGCUUAUCCCUUGUCAGUUGGGAUGACGGGUGGGUUGGUAUCAUGGUUCACCGUGGGUCGCGGUCUCGAUUGUUUCAUGUCCGUCACGACAUAUCGAUUGAAUAUCAUGUGAUACAAACAUUAUAACACAUUAAAGUUUCCAAAAUUUUUGAAAAAAUUACUAAAAUUAAAAAAUACUAAAAAAGACAUAAUUUAAAAAAAUAUCGGAGUCGACUCCGAGUUGACUCGAAUAUAUCUGCCGAUAUCAUGCAUCACGGAUUCGAAUCAGUCAAUAUCGACCGAGUCAGAACGAGUCAUCGCGGAUAUGAUAUUAUCAUAUCCGCAAUUCGAAGAUCGGUACCGUACCGAUCCCUUCCGUUCCAGUUAUGAUUCGGCCGGCGAACCAUGAUUGGUAUGUUGCCGUGGAUUUCCCAACAUCACUGGCAUGGAAGUAAAAGUCCCCACUCAGCAGCUUUUACUGGAAGACAACAGGGACCGUUUAGUUGGCCAAGGAAGAACUUGACUAAGCAGAAACAUUCUGGACAUUCACUAAAGCAUCCAAAAAAAUGAUCGAUCAUUAAUGAUUAGUCGAGACGAGCCUACUUUAAUUUGGAGCCUUACAGUUUCCUUGUGCGACUAAAACCAGUGCACAAAACAAAAGACAGGUGUCAUGAAAUAAAAUAAGCAAGAACAUGCAUCCACUAUCCAUGAAAUAUCAAAUCUAUGCUUCUUUUUUUGAGACGAGACGAAUAUCACUACCAGAGCAAUCAUUCUAAGCUAAAGCAAUGUACAUUUCAAAGAGUCUACCCCACCCUACUCCAAAAAGCCGAAUGACCAGAGCAUUCCCGUUUUACAUGCUUCUUGAGGUCUAUUUUUUGACCCCAAGAAUCCACCAACCCCGAUCUGAUAUGUUACAAAAACUAACCUAUUUGGUUAGUUGACAUAAUGGCCAGUUUUCCGUCUAUGCCGACUGAAGUCUGAUACAAACCUGAAACUAAGGCCACACCCAUCAACCUUGCACUUGUAUGGUCUCUCCCCGGUGUGGACUCGUAUGUGUUCAGUCCUUGCCCAAGCCCACUUAAAUGUCAUUCUGCACCCCUUCCACGGACAUUUUAGUGGCCUAUCAUCAUCAUGAACCCGCUGGUGAGAUGUUGCAUAUUUGUGGGAGCUGAACCUUUUCCCACACCCUUGUACUGGACAGCGAUCACGCAUGUGUAGGACUAGCUCUGCCUUGGUCUGGAAGCUCAUUCGGCAGCCUUCUAUGCUGCACUUGUGAGAGCAUCUCUUUUGCUCUCUCUUGUGCUUGUGCAGAUCCGAACCAUUUAAAUGCUUGUUCACCUUCCUUCCUUUGCUUAAAUCCUCAAAGGGCUUUUCGGCACCAGUCGUGUCUCCUGCAGCAUCUCUUUUGGUCCUUGGCCUUAGACCUUCACAAGGACUUCUACUGAAGCUGCCAAAAUUUGGUUGAUCUUCAUUUUGGAUAUCCACUUCUCUUUUUCUUUUGCUUCUCAUUUUUUCAGUAUGUUGGAAUUGUUCUAGGGUAGAAAUUGCAUCAUCCACCUCCUUGUUCUCAAAUAAGGUGCAACUCUGAUUGUCACGUUGCUGUUGAUCAUCAGCAGGCAUCUCUCGAGGUGCUUCAAGUUCUUCCGUCAAGGAAGGGUUAGAUGUAUUCGAUGUCAGAACAUCACUUGAAACAGCUCUUUCCCGAUCAGCUCCCUUCAUUGAGGAGAUUUCUUUCUCCAUUUCGCCACUGCUCAUUUGACAUUUAUCUAGAACUGUUGUCUCAACUUGUUGAUUGCACCUUUCCCCAGAAGAUUCAUCAGCAUGAGGACAUGACGGGGCAGGUUCAGAGGCCUCUUUCAUGAGAACAUCCCCAUCAGCAUUUCUGUGAUACUUCCUUUCAGAUUCAUUUGUUGUUACGACAUCACAUGUCAUCUUUGCCAUGUUGAUUCGACAGACAAUUUCAUCCUCCCUCAUCACUUCAGAACUUUCAGUAUCAUAAACAGAAAUGCCAAGUGAACCUGCAGAAUUUUCAGAAUUUACUGAGUCAUGGUUUUCGUCAGUUUCCUCGGCAACAUUGAUCAUGGACAAUUUGUGGGAGUCCUUCAAAAGUAAAUCGUAGUUUUUAUUCAGCUCGACAAGUUCGUCUGACAUACCACUUCCAGUAUGAACAUUUAUAUUCCCAGCCACUGGGUUAGUAGCAAUAGAAGAAUCUACAAGUUUCAAUGGAGAAAGAUUUUCGUUCAGACCUCCACCUGAUACAACUUUUUGACCUUCAUUCCGCAACUUAGACUUCCUACUGUAGGCCAAACAAGUUGGCCCUGAAGCGCCCUUCCCUGCACCUUCAACUCUAACAUGAGUAUUCAUAGACAUGUCUCUCUCCUUUUCCUUGCAAUUUCCACUGUCAGCACCUGAAAUUUCAUCAGAAGGAUGUUUCUCAGAAACCACCAAGGCCUUAAUGGCUCCCUCAGAACCACGAGGCUUCGACUUGUGUCUUUUCCUAUAAUAUUGGAUCAUUACUUGACCUAGUUUCCUACUCAUUCUGCUUCCCGACUUUUCUACCGGUUCUUCAACUUUCUCAGUCUGGAUGCUCACAGAUGGCUUGCUAAAGUUUGUAGGAUCUGCAUUCCUUUUUGAACGUGAUUUCCUGGAUUGCCACUUCAAAGCCUUUAAGUGAAGAACUCCAUCAGAAAACAACCCACCUAAAGCCAAUGCAUGCUUCACUUUCUGGGAUGGGAAGUUCUUUCUCAUCUUUACACAGUGGCGUAAGUUGAGAUUCAAUUUUGAGGUCCAAUCUUGUGCACCUUCAUCUUUUUCUUGAUUUUCAAUUGCAUGAUCAAUCAGGUACAGGUCUUCCUGGGAUGCAUUUCCUAAUGGAAUCUCGUUGUAGUUAAAAGGGAUGCUAAUUUCCUCCGCUACAACUGCACUGUGUGCUUUUAUUUUCUGGAAGUCUACAAAUAUUGAAAACCGAGGACCACUUUAUCCAAUUCAUAAGCGACAUUCACAUGCAAAAGAAGGAUAAUGAAGUACAAUCCAGUCAUUUCUUCGUCAAGUGGAGAAGGGAGAAGAGCAAAAUCUUUCAUUAGGGUGACAACAUAAAUUUAGCAUGGUUGAAAAGACAGGAGCGAUCCACUUCAUGCAUUUUUAUCUAAUAAUGAACUGAAAUUCAUCAAUCUAUUGUUACCUGAAUGGCAUAUUCCAAGCACAUUUGCACCACCUUUGGGGCGCAAUAGCUCCACGGUUUCAAUUGCGUGCUCCAGGCAGAACAAUUGAGGUCUGAAAUAGCCAGUUGAAAGGUUCCACCCCCCGUCAAACUUGACUGCUGAAGAAGCCGUUACGUGCACUGGAAAUGAUGAAGUAUUAAUGUCUACAGACAGGGCAUCCUCCUCCAUAUGAGAACAAGUGGAUGGGCUUGAUUCAGCAAAAGGAGAUGCUUCAUCUGGAUGGUUAAUAUUCUUCUUAACUGGCUUUCUUGUCUCUGUUGCAUUUUAAGACCCACUGUCAGCAUUAAUGACCUUUCAUGUUGUUCAAUUCUAAUGCAUCGACUGUUCCAAGGUUCGGCACCUUGGUUCAUGUAUCUACAGUAUCUUAGCAAGAUAAAAUUUAAUGCACCAGCAUAGAAGUAAACUGAUAGAUUUAAAUCUGAACAAGAAGCUGUCCAGUAUGAUAUAUUCCCAUUAAUACAUCAAACUGAGAGGUAAAUACAAAGCAUAUACACAAAUCAGCCAUUACAAACAGAAAGUAGCAGCAAACCAGCUAUUCAGGACGUAUAACUCAAAAUAUGGACUUAAAAUUUGUACUUUGCAGCAUAUAAUAUAAUAUAAUGUACUUUGCAGAAUGUUCCGUGAUAACUAAUAAUAAGACAGAAAGAUCUAAAGUCAACCAAAGUGCAGGCCAUGAUGAAAAUCCUAAAAGAAGUUCUCCACAUGUGAAAAGACACUGGAAUUCACUGGGAGAACUUACGUAGGCAGCUUCAUGAUAGUAAGCCACAUACCAAAUAACUUAACUUGUUACAAAGUGCUUGUAAUGGUAAUGUCAUAAUAAGACCAUGCAAAAGAGCUGCACAAUCAGAUCAAGGUGAAAAGGAAUGGAGAAUUCAAAACACUCCAUAUUAUACUCAGAACAUGCAAUAGACAAUAAAGGCAAGUAUUUCACUUAGUAUCGCAACUUACCAACCUACUCUGUAAACCACCUACUACCAUAUGACACUGAAAGAAUGACUCCAAAAGUAAGAGAAAAAACAUAAGACAAAAAUGAAUUUCAUGGUUUGACAAAGAAGCAUACAUGUAAAAAAUCACAUAUAAGGUUGUCUUGUGAGCCUUAUACCUGGAAUACAGCUUUCAGCCCUAAAAUCAAGAUCCAAGGAUUUACAACCCGCUGGUUGACAAACUCCUAAUUGUUGAGUCAUAGCCUGAUCCUCAGGCAGCAGGUCUCUCGAUGCUUGCUCGGAUGGUUGUACCACAGCCAUAAAAGGAAAACCAAGAAUACCACAGGCAACACAGGGUAAAGUUCCAGAAUCAACUUGAUAAUCAUUUUGUAUGUCAUCAGCAUCAUCUACAUAAAAAUCAGUAAUAGUGUCCAUAUACAAGCUCAUCUGCGUGUAAAGAUCUUGGUUACUGCAGUUGUCAGGAUGACUGUCUUCUCUUCUUUGUGUCCCAUCAGUUACAACAGUACUGCACAAUUCAGAGUCCUUACUUGAAGCUGGCAGCAAAUCCACAUCCCAUAGUACCACACGAUAAGAUGAAUUUUUCUGAAGAAGAAUAGUUAGCAGAUGGUUUUCCUUUAAAAUAUCUUCUAUGAAUGCUUUCUUUACCGAGAGCUCGCGUUCUUCCUUCUGACGAUCUUUGAGACGAGAGCUUCGUGCUCCUGGUAGUAGGGAUCUUGGCACUCUGUCAUUCAAAAUAGAUCCACUACGUCAAACUUAUGAUUACAGGUCGCUAACCAAUUCAUAUGGUAUCCCUGUCGGCAAUAAGAAAAAGAACCUAUAAUGCACAGAAGUAAAUGAAAAUGUGGAAGUUGAAAUAUUUGAACAACCAAGCCUCAAGCAAGGCUGAAAGCUGGAAAUGCCCAUAAAACUGAAUAAGAUGAACAACUUACAAGUAGAUUAAGAAAGUUAUGUGGACAUUUUAAAUAAGAGGACAAAAUCUGACCUUGAUACAAAAGACAUUGUCAACAGGUAUAGCAGCUGCUGAUGAGAAAGCAUGGGCAAGUAAUUCAUCGCGGCUCUGCGAACAGCGGCUUCUUUGGCUAUUGUAAGCCACUUAGGAGUACUGAAGUUUGCAGCUUCUCCACAAUUAAAACCUAUAACCAGAAAUGAACAUACACUGUCAUAAUAAUGAAUAAAAGGCCACCAUAAAUAUAUAGAACAGCAAGGAUUUUUAUGGAAUUUACAAAUAGUGACAGAACAAUAUUUGAAAAGAUUAAUGGUUAAAACACUGUGUACCAUCUUGCAACCCCUGAUUAUACCACAAUUUUUCAUGCCACAAUCUCUAACAAUCUUUGCAUGUGAAAUAUUCAAAAUAUUCAAACUGUGAACAUUAGGUGCUAAUUGAUUGACACAACUAAUAGUACCACUGUCCAUAACCCCAUUGGAUAUAUUAUUCUACAAUGUCCUAAACCACUUCCUGAUUACAUCUGGGAAAAAAAAAAAGAAAUGGAAAAUUGAAAAGAAAACAAUAAUAUCUGUUUCACAUAUAUCUAAGACACUUGCAACAGACAUUGCAACCAAAGAUCUGGUGACUGAAAAAUAGUAUGGCCAACAAGUGUGAAUAUGGUAGAAGCAAAAAUUGCAGCUCUCCCCGACCAUGUCAAGGUUUAACGUACACUUGCUACUAGAAAAACAAUUUUCUGACAAAGGUAACAUAUUGUAGUCUACAGAUGAUUAUAAAAGUAAAUCUCAUGGAAGUUUGCAAGCAGUUAAAUCACUAUGCAUAAGAGCCCAGAACUCCAGCUUGAAUAACAUUUGGUCUAAGUUGUCAAAGGUGGAAAAUUGGUAAUGCAUAGUAAAACAAUAAACUAAAGAAACAUUAUACAUAAUUUGAACAGGAAUACUCUUAUAAGGAGAGAAAUUUACCGUGGCUGAAUCCUACAUGGUAAGCCCUUGGGAAAGUCACAACAAACUCACCAGGAUUCUGAACUAGCCUAGCAAAGAUGACAAGACCAGUAAUUAGCUAUUAGUGGCUGGAAUCAUCCACUAUCAUACUUGUAGCUCAGAACUCCAAUAAAUCAGUAUGAGUUCCUGUCAAGCCUCAUUAUGCAAGAGUUUAUAGGAAUAAAGAGAUUAAAUGAAACUGAAUAUGGUUCUAGAGAAAACAACCCACCUACAACAUGGGAUGCCUGCUGCAACAAUAACUUCUGGUGAAAAAAGAGUAGUCUUCUCACCCAGGAGAGUCAGUGCAUCUAAAAAUUUACAAACAACUGAACUUAAACAGGGAAAAUACACAAAAGCAGGAAAUCUUAAAGAAUCAAUGUAAGACUUUAUGGUGCCAGUUGAAGCAAAAGAAACUCCAUGACCAAUGCAGUUGACAAAACCAAGCUUUUGCUAAAACAUUCUCUAACCUCCAAUCAUGAAAUCAAACUUCUCUCUUUGAACUCAGAAUGAUCACUCAAAAAAAAAAAAAAACUAAGGAGAUGAUGCAAUUUUUAUCUCAGCUCCAAUUUUUCAUCCCAGAAAUAGGCUGACAGCUAAAGCAUAUUUCAAGAGACGUCCACAAAUAGAACAAGAUAGAGUAAGUGCACUUCAGACAGUGAUUCUUCCAUCUUCAUGGAGAAAAAACAGCAUAGAAAAUGCAACUAUUUUAGCUGGAUAUUUUACCAGCAAUGCAAAGUGCACUCCAGAGCUGUGGUUAUUUACAUUUUCGUACAAAUUUCUCUGAGCACCAAAAAACAUUUGAUAAAACUGAAAGAAUAUCAAUUUUGGCACUUUUCCUUCAUAUAAAUCUGAAACUGAAAGCACAAACAUACCUAAAGGGUCAGUAUUUCCCCCAUAAGCUUGAAGGCGAACGACCUCUUCAAAAUCAAAUGCAUAAUCUCCUGGAACUGAAUACCAUGUCUUUGGGGAGCCCGUAUGAAGGAAAUUUAAGCUAUGAAGUUCAUGAUCUUCAACAUGCCAAGCAAACCAGCUGAAUAACAUUCCAAUGUAAACCAUUGGAGAAGUAACACCAGGUAUAUCAUCUGGCAUGUAGCGUGUCAGUGACCCAGGAGAUCUUGCAAUUACUUGCAAAUUCCAAGAACUGUUUGAUAGCUUCCAACCUGCUGUUCCAUGCAUCUCAUUACUAGCAUUUGAAAACUUUCCAUCAGAAAAAUUUUCAGACUGGUCCAAUGACAUGGAUGGUAGCGAUGUAGAUGCUCCAGAAACCUCUGAAUGCAAGUUAGAUGCCUGUGCAUCCUUAUCCACACUACUAUAAUUCACAGUACUGCUACAGUUAGUUACAUGGUCAUUGUUACAGGAACUACCUUGGUUAUUUCUAUCGAAAGUCCCCCUUUUCCGCCUCCGCCUCCUUCGCCUAUUAAAAUAUCGAAAUGAUCCCUCUGGUUCUCCAAAUCCAGAGCCAGGCACAUCAUUUGCAUACUCCACAUAUAUGGGCUUCUCUGAAGCAGCUUUCCAAAACAUUGCUUCUAUAACUAAUGGGGAAACCUCUUUAACCACCCCUAGUUGACUCUUAGCAAAAUUCUUUGACUUCGCUUCAAACUGUUCCAAUGUAUAAACUUCCCCACUUUGCCAUACUUGCUUUGGAGCUCCUAUCAACUGAUUCCCAGCUGCUCCCUUCACCCUCUUCCCAUUCUGACCUAAUUCCUGAUGCCUAGUUGUAAAAACUGCCCGAGCCUCAGAACCAUUACUCCCUUCAGCCCCAUCAUUCAUGUUCAUUGAAGAACUGACAUUUACCUCCGAACCCAAUUCUGGACACUUGGAAAGUGACUUAUUCAAGUUAUAAAGAACGUAUCUUUUUGAAGGCUUAGGCACUGGUGGAAUCACUUUACAUAUACCAAAGGCACUUGCUUUUUUCUCAAUCUUUGAUAUAUAAGCUAUUGGGUCUGCAAAUUCAGUAUCUGUUGGCCGGAAUUCUGGUGCCAAAGGCAACUCUUCAAGCCAUUUUGGUAUUUCCACAGCCCCCAUUCGAUCCACAAUAUUCAAAACCAUAACCACAUCUAAGUUCAAUGCAUCCAACGCUCGACCACAACAAUUUACGUAAUGUAAUUAAACGUCAUAUCUAAUCAGCACCCAAUAAUACAUUAUCAAUCAAUACAUGAAAAACCCUCAAUUGAAGGGAUAAUUCCUGGGUUUUUGACCUAAUUGAUACUUCACCAACUUUUUAUAGCAAGAAAAGGCCAAGGAAUUGAAAUUUUGAAAUAUAAUAUGAAAAACCAGGAAUUCAAGAAAAAUGGUAAUUAUGAAGUAUAGAACCUGGAAAUGCAAAUUUGUGGUGAAGGAGGAGCUGCCAAGAAUAGAGCUGGAGUUGUACCUGUGAAUCUCUAUCUAGGUUUUGAGCAAUAAAUCUGAGGAAUUUUUAUCUGUGAGGUGCGUAGGAUAGUAUAUUUGCACGUAAUUUUAUUAGCGUGUGCUGCGGUGCACACUGCACCACUGAAUACACUGUUGCUUAUCCGUACGAUUAAGGGGUUGGACCCCAGCGGGCGUGGCGUUCCGGACUUUGGUGCAUCGUGUUCUAACCGCCCAAUUUUUGAGACAGCGCCAACAGGUUUGCUGACGUGGAUAACCAACAUGGGGGUUGAAAAGACUAAUUUGCCCCAGGUUUGGAUUGAUAUUUGAUGCCAAUAAUCAUUAAUUAGACUCAUAAUUAUAGAAUAAAGACACCACUCGAGUUUUGGCCUGUGGUCAGGAGAUAAUUAUAGAAUAAAGAAACCACUUUGGUUGGCCUGUGGUCUACUGUCAGAUUCGGAAUUUGAAUUCUACACCUGACAAUUAGGUGUAGAGAGGAGAUGAUAGAGUACAUAAAAAUUAUAGAUUAAAAAACUUCUUUCAUUGAUGGAUUAGAGGAAAGAAAUCCAAUUCGAUUGUUUUGUCUUAAUAGGCCUAAGAAUAAACGGACAUAAUAACGUGAAGGGGAAAAAAUUAAUUGAGAAAAGAAAUCCAUCCAUAAGUUCUUGGUCGAGCAGAAAAAAAUGAAAUGGAAGUAGAAUAUCAAGAAUUCUUGAAAUUCAUGUGUGGCUUGAUGAUUCCACUUACAGUUUCUUAAAGUUGAUCAAAGCAUAAACUCCAAAAUUUGUGACUAAGCCAUUGAAAUCUAGACUGGGGAGGCGCAAGGAUAAUGUACAUUCUGUAAGCAGGUCAACUUGAAGCUUCUUCCAAGAUUAAGAGAUUUGGCAGAAAUUUUGUGCAUGAACAGAUAUGUUAAGUAAGAAUAAUAUUGAGCAUCUAAAGCUUUCUGCAGAUAUCAUAUGUUCAUUCUGGUUCUAUAAUUAAAUGUAUACAGUUACCUCGAACAACUCCAACAACUCUUGUACAAUUUCUACGACUGAAUGUUUCAUGGAUUUAUGUCAAGUCGUAGGGCAACAAAUUAGAAAAAAAAUGGUUUCUGAAUGGGGCUUUGUUUAAUGUAUUUGAAGCUUUGUAGUUUUGUUUUGGCAAAUUCUGCAAUCUACCUUUUUUGUACAAAUAUAAAUGAUGUAGUUAGACUGCACAAGUGAAAAAUAUUGCUCGCGUAAAAUGAUUCUUUUUUUUUUCUACUAAUUUAAAGUUCGAGAUUUACAUAAAAAAAAAAAAAGUAGUGAAUAAAUGCCUUGCUCUUUAAACAUGAGAAUGGAAGGGGUUAGCCAUCUCCUUCUAGCUUAGAAAGUGCAAUUUUUGAAAGCGUUAAUAACAAGAACUAGCUAUAAAGGUUUGAGUUUUGUUAAUACUUAUUAUAAGACUGGAUUUCAUGGAGCAUGAUUUUUUUUUUCUUUUUUGCGGUUAAAUUCGUAUUCGUUGAUACGUCUCAUUGCAUCUCCAAUAGGAAGACAGUAAUUUUCCUCUUGUUUUUUCUCCCCUUGCGAUGGUUUAAUACUGGAACGUAGGCCUAACUCUAAACUAAAAGAGAUGAAAACUACAAUUAGUCGAGUAUUAUUGCAAAAUAGCCAUUUGAAUUAUUUUCAAUCAAUAUCAGCAUCAGACAAACUUUAGACCUCGACAUGCUUCCGCACAGAAAUAAUUAAGAGCUUCUUAAAAUAUUCAAAUCACUUAAGCGUCUAAAUUAGAUAUUAGGGUGUCUAUCGUUUAAAAAUGUGGUGAUCUGUCGCUCUGUAUAGAUGGACUCAUAUGCAUAAUUGAAUCAUAGAACAACAUAAAAUGAUCCUCUAUGCUGUACACCAUUUGAAUACAAAACAAAGGAAGCAUGGCCCCCUGCUGAUUCUCAAACAUCUUAAUUAAGCAUUCUAAAAGGACAAAAAAAAAAAAAGAUAAACCUAAAUUUUUUGUGGAAUUCUUGGAGACAUCCCAGAAGUUGCACGAAGCGCGACCCUAAAAUUAAGGUCUGAACAUGAUUUUCCUUUCCCACAGAGAAAGGAUGUGGUUUGAAUUCCCAUCUUCUUCAGAAGUGUCCCCCACCAUCUCCAUUUACUUGAUCACAAUAUUGCUUGCAGGCCUGGGAACAACCAUUCUCCGAGGCACCGUCAACCUGCAUGCAGGUGGGCAUGCACCCUUUAGCACAAUCCGAUAAUGCUCCAAUCAUGUUGACCCAAAGCAUCAAAACCAAAGCACACACCAAAAGGGCUGUCAAACUCACUUUCUUCACAGCCAUUUUCUUGUUCUAGUACCUUUAUGUUGAUACUUGAUAGUUAAGUCCCUUUGGUACUAGUAUGAAUGUGGAUAUUUAAAAGGGCAGUAUUACCUUUCCUGUCACUAUUUAUAGGAUUAAUUUAACAUGGUAUGUGGAAGAAAGUUUUUGUGAUUUCUUUUUGGAACGGUUAGGAGGAUUUUAUGAAGAAAAUUGAGGGUAGACGCUUGUCAUCAUUUAGAACAGAAGCUUAAUUUAAUGGUUCUUGGAGGCUUGAAGCUUCUCAAUGUUUACCUACCAUUCUUUUAAUAGCAAAGAUUUGUUGGUGAUGUAAUGGACCAAUUAAUGACUAUAAUUAGAAUGUUCUUCUGAUUGGCUUUUUCAGUUUUGAUGUGCUAGUGGUUAUCAGAAGAAGGGGUUCAGGAUCCAAGGUAAUCACGUCGUGUACUUGUCUUUUUUUGUCCAAACUCUUCUCGUAUUUGGUAAUAUUUGUCUUAUGUUCCAUGGUCACUAGCUUUAUCUCAUGAUUUUAUUUGUUGUAUUAUUCUUUUUAACAAUUACAAAGAGUUUUUUUUUUAAUGACCAUCCAACAAGAAGCAUAUCCUCUAAAAUGAAAACCAAGAAAACAAAAAAAGAGAUGGUAGCGAUUGGUGUCAUGCCUUUCUGUCAAUCCGGAUUCAAAUCUCUCCUGAAACAUCUGGAUUCGAAUCUCUCCUGCUGCCGUUGUAUAGGACUUGCCUAAUGUGUCUUACCUUUCCGUGUGGUUGGUAGGGUAUUACCCAUUACGCAUUCUCGGGUAACGGCUGCGAGUUCUCUUGUCAAUAGAGAGAGAGAGAAAUUUAUACACCUAAGCACAAUUUAUGGACCACUCUUCAACUCUUGAAGGCGCUGAUUAAGAAACUGAUUGUAUUCUCAGUUUCUCAUUCGUUCGUCAUCUUUUAAAGGUGCAAAAUUCAUAGCACCCCUAAUGAACACAAUGCAGUUUUCUCUUUUACCUUUUGGCAAUGAUUCACCUGUUAAUUGGUCAGCUUUGAGGCAUAGCUACUAGAGCCAAGAGUUAAGCAUGUGCUGAUUAUCAAAGUUCCAGCGAGAAAUGCAAUCAGAGCAUAUAACGCUUCCUACAAGAGGUGCUUUGAUUUGUGGAAAAAGUAAUCUAGUGCUACAAAAACAAUAAUUGUGCGUUCGUAGUCACAAGUAUUUCGAUGCAGAACUAGUCAAGAAAGGAUUUCGAUGGACAUCUUGAGCAGUUUUUAUGAGCUUAGGUAAUACUUAAAACGGCUUCUGGUGAGCGUAAUUGCAGGUUACGUUCUUGUAUUUUCAGUGAAUUUGUUUCCUCAUGGCUGACAGAUACAUAAGCAGGUUUUUUGAAGUUGGCAUUUCUGAAAUUGUUAGGAGGAGACAAAUAAAAAUUAAAAAGAAGAAGAAGAAGAAGAAAAGAUGAGUAUCUGAGGUUCAGAUCAUGAGUAAACGACCUAAAUCUGAAUUGAGGAGCAUUAUUUUCCUAUGCCAGACAGGGUAGAUUGCUUACUUGCACAUUGGAAAGCUUCUUCUCAACAAGUAGUUUACAUAUAUUGCAGGCUUCAUGAAGUACGAUCAUCAAGUCGAGAAAGAUAUUAAGCAGGGAAAAAAACGUUUCCAGCAAACUCUUAAUCUCUCAGAAACAGAAACGUAUCCAGCAAACUCUCCAGUCUCCACCUAGCACUAGCAGCUUAUUUGUAGAUCAUUAUAUAGCUAGAAAACUAUUGCGCCUGCUUGAUUAUGCCGGAAUGUAUUUGACCUAGGAAAGGAAUAAGAUUUCCUCAUCUCUUUCUUCUCGGAAACGGGUGCACUCAUCCUAAUAUCUGUAAGUUUUAACAGGAGAGAAGCGACUUUGCUAUUCUGGUGACAUUUUCUUCUGUAAAGCCAUACUUCUUGAAUGCAUCCAAAUAUGCGCCACUAGCCCCAAACUCUUCCACACCAAGCACGCUGCCCUUUUCCCCAACAUAUUCCCUCCAGCCUAAUGGCGAGCCUGCCUCGACACUCAAACGUUUUGAAACUCCUGAUGGCAGCACAGCCUCCUUGUAUUCCUGUGGUUGCCUAUCAAACAGUCUCCAGCACACUAAUGAAACCACCCUCACUCUCCUCCCCUCCUUCCUCAGCAAAUUGGCACUUGCUUCACAGAGACAUAGCUCUGAUCCAGUACUAAUUAGUAUGAUUUCUGGUAAUUCCUCACCACAGUUGUCACUUACAAUGUACCCUCCUCUUUCUACGGCAUCUGAGGAUGUUCCCUCCACGUUAGCUGCCAACUUUUGUCUUGAUAAUGCAAUAACACUAGGCACAUCUCUGUUUGCAACAGCUACCUUAUAAGCUCCAGCAGUCUCAUUGCCAUCAGCAGGUCGAAAAACCAAUAGGCGAGGAAUUGCUCUUAGGCCAGCAAGCUGCUCCACGGGUUGGUGUGUUGGUCCAUCCUCUCCUAAGCCAAUUGAAUCAUGAGUCAUAAUGUAGGUAACUGCAGCAUGACUGAGAGCUGAGAGUCGGAUGGAAUUUUUCAUGUAGUCGGAGAAAAUAAGGAAAGUUGCAGCAAAAGGUAUUAAACCACCUCCAUGCAGCGCAAUACCAUUUGAAAUUCCACCCAUUGCAUGUUCUCGUACUCCAUACCUAAUAUUCCUUCCCUUGUAAUUUUGCCUUUGGAAAUCUCCGCAGUCAUGAAGAUAGGCUUUAUUAGAGCUGGCAAGAUCUGCACUUCCACCAAUUAGACCUGGUAGCACUUUAGCAAGUUGGUUUAAACAUUUCUCCGAAUACCCUCGAGUUGCAUCCACUGGGUCAGUUAUUGACCAUUGCUGUUCAGUAAGAGACUCAGAGAUCAGUUUGGUAAUAUUCUGAGUAAUAAGCAGAUAUCAUAGUAAUGCUGGGAAGACUAAAGACACAAGAAGACGAUGCCUUAAACCCAUCUGUAAUAAGAUGCAAACUAGAUGACUUCAGGCUGUCAUUUAGGCCAAAAGAAUACCAUUCACAUGCUGACUGCUCAGAUUCAUCAAAAGGAUCGAUGGUCCAAAAUUUAAUGAGUUAAAGAUGCAGAAGCAACUGAAAUUAGGUCCAAUAAGGAAAAACGUGGUCUUUGUAACUGAAUUUGGCUGCAGCAAGGUGGGUGCAACACCUGGCAUAAACAAGAGUUGAUCUCCAUCUUUUACAGAAGAACGGCGGAGGGGAGUAAAUUUGAUGCCGCGGUCACCUAGAUAUAUAAAGGCCUCUGAAUCUACGCUGCAAAAUGUCAACCUCCAAAUUCUCCUAGACAAUAGGUUUAGAAGUUCCGCCAAACUAAGUUCUAAUCCUUGGUGUGUGUGUGGAGGUAGAGGGUGAAAUUGAAUGCACGGUAUACCCCAACUUUUCCACGAAUCUUAAAUGCUGCCUAGAUCUUGGAUAGGUUGCACACGCCAUGGCCUGCAAUUACAGUGGUUCAUCCUUCAUUUAAUGUUUUUUAAGUACUUGGAGUUGCUGAGACUUGAUUGAUUCACAUUUCGUGAGAAAAGAAUGUUUUAAUAGACGUAAGCAAGUAAAAUGACAAAUUACACUCUAAGAAGGAAUGUCAUGAUAUUCACCGGUAAAGAACUCUCCCAGCCUGGAACUAGUCCACCAUGAAGGAGAGCAUUAAAUUCUGCCGCUUCCUCCGGAUAUGCAGUUUGGUAAUAAUGCAGCUUGGAUGUCCACAUCGCCUCCAACUUUUCUCCCUGAUCCGCCUGAAUUUGCAUUUCCCUAAAGAAGAUUAUAUAAAGAGCUGCUUCAUUCUUUUCGCUUGUUAUAAAAUUGAACUGGUAAAACUGCUGUUCCACUGAGUCAUUACCUAUAGAUCAUAGGAAUCACAUGGAACGGCUGAUGAUUCUCCCAUUUGACCUUUUGUUUCAUUUGUUUUACAUCAUCUUCAUCAAAGGUACCAUGAUGAGCUUUCGAAGUUCCUUCCUUCUUCGACAAUUUCCCAAUAGUAGUCUUGACCUGAAAAACAUGAAAAUUUUCAUACUUCUGCAAUCUUGUAAUUGAGGACAAAUGUGACCAGGUUUAAGCGUUUGAUGUUUCCUUCAAUCACAAGACUUGUAUCUACAGAAAGGUCUGGGAAGCAAGCUGUUUGCUUGUACUGAGCGAAUCCCCACAUACCCUGAUGAAAGUCGGUUUCUCAGUCUCACCAUAAGCAGAGAGAAGUGCAUUCUCAAACAAUUUCAGUUCUCCAUUCCUGAGAUCCACUGUAAUUGUUUUCCAUCCUAGAGCCUGAAAUCGAGCUGAUGUGUCUUCAGAAAAUGCAAGGUCUGUAGAACCAUCAAUAGUAUUGUGGUUGUCAUCAUAGAUUAGUGUAAGCUUAUUAAGUUUCCAGUGUGCAGCCAACGAUGCAGCUUCAUGUGAUAUGCCUUCCAUAGCACAGCCAUCCCC
rnacentral:lncRNA from 1 species